AAUGAGAGUCCGAUGGUACAGCAGCAAAACUUGACAACGGUUCUGGGAGUGGUGCGAGAUUUGACAAAAGUGUUGGUGGCUUUUGAUAUUCGUAUUGAGAGUUUGACGGAGGUGGACCUGCCGAAUGUUAUAGAUAAUAUGCUUCGCAUGGAUUUGGCCGUACUGCGAGAGCAUCUUUGCCUUUCCAUUUAUGUUGAGCCAGGGCUGUUGAUGUGUGGAUUAUGAGACGAUAUGGGUCCAACCGGGAUUUGUUGUUCUCGCUACGUGACUAGUGGAGUUUCCGACCUGUCCGGCCAUUGGCUUACUUCUAGUAUGACCAUUGAGUUUUGGUGGAAGUGGUCAGUGAGACUUAGACUCUCGGUUGGUACAAUUUAGGUACCGAUCAAGCCGAGCAGUUCCAUAUGAACGGCAUGCCAAGCUCCUUUGUAGCAGCAACUUGUGGUAUUAACAUAUGGGGUAAGUAGCUAGUUUUUUCGCGUUGGACUAUCUCAGAUUCUUCGUAGACAUACCUUUAAUAACCUGGUUAGCAUAGUGGAUUUUGCUUGAACUGCUUCCUCCUUCUUGCAUGUUUGUGAAAAUAUGAAGUGAAAGAAACUUUUUUCCAUGGCUUUUGGCAUGGAAUGAGGAAACUGACGUGAACAUGAUGAAUAUCCCACUUAAGGGCAGCUCUUUCUAGAGGAAGAAGAGUUGUUCAAUUGAUGCGAGGGACGAUGGGAUCCUCUCUCUUUUGUGGACGGGAUAACUUUUGGGAAGUUGAGGAAACAACUAAUGUGGUUUUGCGAUCUAAUUAAUUUGAAAAUAUGGACAAAGAAUGAAGGAGAUGAUUGAGUUAUAAGGGGAACUUAUGUGGGAAUUGGGAACUUGGAAUUGAAGAUUACAUUCCAAAUUAUGUUUCACAAACACAUAGUUUUUAUCCAUAUUUUUACUGAUGAAAGAAAGAAUAAAGCUGUUUGAAAGGAGAAUCCCUGUUAUGGAAGGGGAGUUUAUGCAUAAUGCGGAGAACACAUUCACUAAGGUUUCUGUGGAAACAAUAGGUUAGAGAACAUCUAUCUAAGAGCUAAAACAGCCAAAAAAGAAAAAGAAAAAGAAAACAUUUUUCAUUGCUUUAGUUCGUAGCUUACCAAUAAAUAGGAAUGAAGUUCCCUUCAUUGCAAUUAAUGUUCCAUUCAACAUGUUAGGUUUGAGACUACGGAAAUUAAGGGAAAAGGAUGUGUGUUAGUCUAUUCUGGUCAUAUUCCAUCCAUCGUACCGUUGUGGCUGCUUAAUGAUAGAUUUAAUUGUCGGUCUGCUUGGUCUAGUAGCGGGGAACUGAUACUUGCCAUUAGUUAUCAUUGUUAUAUAGUGUCUGCAAAAUAUUGUCUCUGGUAAAUAUUUUGGUGACUUGGCUUACUCGCACCUGUCAUUUUCACUCUUGUUGUUGAUCUUUUAGUUAAUUAGAAACUGCCUUCCUCUUGUCCACGUAUGACUCCUGAGCUAAUGGAGGCAUAGUUGUGCAAGGGCAGUGAAUAAUCCCUGUGAACUGUGAUUGCUCUGAUAAGUGAAUUUGCUAGAAUAUAACUUAAUCUGGGUUGUCGAUUUCUAAAGCAAGAUUGUCGUGUUUUGGAGGGAGGCACACAUUUGUUGUAUCUGACUAAUGUAUUUAAGCAUCAGAUAGUGCUUUUGUUUUCUAGGUAAAACGUCUUAUGAUGACACAUGCUGUCUUGGCCCAUUUGUAUGACAUGGUCACGGAGAAACGAAACGUGAGCAAAGUUAUAGCUAACUAGUACGAUGGUGUUAUGACAAGUGUGGAAACUGUGAUGGAAUUAAAACUGAGAAGAAUAAAAGAUGACACUGAUUUGCACGGAAACCGUUAGCAGGAAAAAUUAGGGGAAGAGUAUAAGGAAAAUCAACCAUGAAAAUUCAAGAAUUACAAAAAGUGCCUCGAGAAUACUGUCAUGUUUUUCUGAUGUUGCGAUGCAUAUUUGCCAUACUUGGUGUCGAAAAAUGCCAGUGUUAAUGGCUUUUCGUUUAUGAACUUCUUUUAGAUGCGGAUUCAACUUCCAAACUCGUGGCUGUUUGCCUAAGGAUGUUGAUAUUUGUGGGUAGCCUUACCAACUUGUCAUGGAUGGAGCUUUCCACUUUUUUUGGUUGCAGUAGUGUAUCUUUGCUUUCUUAUGCUAUGCCCUAAACAAUAUAAGUUCCAUCUAUUACUUCAAUUUGCUAUAUCUUUUCUGGGCUCUCUCUGGGAUCUGAUUCUAGAACCUCUAAGCACCAACCCCCCCAACCAAAAAAAAUAGAAAAAAGGAUGGAACUUUCCACUUUUUCUGGUUGCAGUAGUGUGUCUUUGCUUUCUCAUGCUUUGCCCUGAACAAUAUAAGUUCCAUCUAUUACUUAAAUUUGCUAUGUCUUUUCUGGGCUCUCUCUGGGAUUUGAUCCUAGAACCUCUAGUCCCCCCCUCCCCCCAAGAAGGAGAUCUUGAAGGAUUCUAUUAGUGAGUUUCCCCAUCAUUUGUUUAUGCUCUCAACGCUUCACCUUUUGUAAUGCCUUUUUAACUUGCUAUAUAUUCUGUGUUUUAUUUUGUUUAAUUUGAUACUACCACGUUUGUCUGAUGCUGUUGACGCGCUUUUGCCAUGCUUGUGUUGAAAAAUGUCAGUGUCAGUGGCUUUUUGUUUCUGAACUUUAAGAUGCGGAUUCAACUUUCCAGCACGUGUGUGUUUCCCUAAAGAUGUCGAUAUUUGUGGGUAGCCUUACCAACUUGUCAUAGACGAAACUUUCCAUUCUUUCUGGUUGCAGUACUGUAUUUUUGCUUUCUUAUGCUAUGCCCCCAACAAUAUAAGUUCCACUAUUGCUUCAAUUUACUGUGUCUUUUUUGGGCUCUCUCCGGGAUCCGAUCCUAGGACCUCUAAGUGGAAAACAAGGUUUCCGUACGUUGCAAUGGUACCUCAAAUCUAGAUAAAUGAAAUGACCGAUCUUUGUACAUGGUACUGCUGCAACUGAACUGCAGUCGAGUUGUGUGAUGUGGUUGCUGUGACUCUUAUGUUUCGUGAUAUGACUCCGAGGUCCGAAUACCAUGUGGAAAGUGCAGCAUCCUUUUUGACCGUUGAACGGGUCUCGAAAAGCUGUAUCGCACUGUCUCAUGUAUGAAUCGCCUACAAAUUUCCUCCGACAGUGAAACUCAAUUGAUUUCUCAUCGAAUCAACCCCUCCUAUUUCUUGCGAUGGAGAGAAACGGAAUGGACAGAAGGAAACGACAGUCAAAUGGGUGAUAUGGCAGAGGUAGACGGGCACUCAGGGAAACAAUGACAAGAUAAAUGAGUCAGAAAGGCAAAUAAAAAUAAAUCUCGAUUUCUAAUAACCAAGAGGCAAGUUUAAGUUAAAAGUCCUGCCCCUGAACAUCAUGAGAUCAAGAUUAAGUUUGCUCUAGUUAGAGUCUCAUCAUAUACUUGAGUGUUUCUCACGUUUAGAUUUAAAUCUUGUUUGCUGGGAAGUGUUCCCUUGCGAAUAUCUUUCACCAAAGCGGCGAGUCUUCGGUUUUUUGUUAUUAGGACAGGAUCAUGUGUAGUUUGGGAAAGGGAGUGCAAAGUUCUACGCUACUUGCAAUAAAUUAAAGGAUAUAAAGGAGAUAAAUAAGUCGACCCUGUAGAUCUGCUCCAAGUUCUUGAGCCCACGCUUCAAUUUUCCCAUGGCCAGCAACACUGGUGAGAUUUUCGUCAAAGGAGGACAUGACCUCCCUCAAUUGAGUCCUCUUGGCACAAGAAUCCACUUAAGCCUUUUCUCCAACAACAGCAAUAGGGAUAACAUCUGAUUCCAACAUUCACUUGGUAUGCACUACCAACUCUCUUAACCAUUCUCUCUACUGCUCAAUCUAAUACCAUUUGUCAGAGGGCAGAAACUUGAGAUCGUGAACCGUGCAGCACCUAGGCUUCACAGGACUCAUUCAUCCCUUACUGUAAUCGUCUAAGCUCAGCCUACCACUGAACUAUUGCUCACUUGCUCACUUGGCCCAUCUUGAAUCAUACGGACGGGUGUUUACACUUGAACCGAUAGUUACUCUUGUAACUGAAGUUCCAACCAGCUAGCUCGCCCUUCACAUCAUUAUCGACACCUCUAUAAAAAUAAAAAUAAAAGUCAAUGCUCGAGGAGGAGGAAUGUGACAUUUGGAUUCUGCAACGUUCUCCCUAAGAAUACUGAAUGUCCUCUUAUGAAAAUUACAAUUGACUGCAGCAGUGGCAGGGUUUGGGGUUUAGUUAAUACUGACGGUCACAAGUUAAUGUAGAUUGGACGAGCAGAUCCUUCUUCUGAAAAUGACAUUUUUGUCGAACCCAAGAGCGAUCAUGAUCAGAGUAGGAAAGGUUCCAUUUAUGCUACUAGCAUAUCCUUUGCAGGCUUUUAGCGAUCAAAUUGCCAAAAUAAAAGUAAGCUGCUCCAAUUUUUUGUCUUCGUAGAGGAAAAGGUGACAUGUAAGCUCUGUGGAGAGAAGUAUGGUUAAUCAGGCGUAUUAUACCGGCUCUAGCAGCUGAAGAAGCCUUGUAUCGAUUCUAAUCUCUUCUACGAGACAUCAUCUGGUAUCUGGUCAGAGUUGUAGAUUGAAUAGAAUUACACGGAGAGGGAAAAUUCCUACUUCUGGUUUGAAAGUGACUGUUGAGUUUUGCCAUCUUGGUAUGUUAUGCUAGGAAGUGUGCUUCGAAUACAAUUCAGUGGCCAUGUACCACACGUGAAAGUUGCUGCGGCCAAUUUUUAUGAUAGUGCCUAGAACACUAUAAGAAUGAAGCAUCUAUCUUUGGCUGGCCACGCCAAUAUAGCUCAGUGGAAAUCCAUGCGAAGCAUUGUUCUAUAACAAGCUCUGUUAAACAUUCCAUACUCAUUGUGUUGAAGGCACUCUGAUUGCCUGAGAAUGAGGAAUGUCGCACAAUGUUGUUGAUUAAUGGGGGCCUUUUUCUAACGAAUCAGGAGUCGGUUCUUUUCCAAGGAAAGAGUCCCCUUAUGAAGCAUUGUUCUAUAGCAAGUGUUAAACAGUGCAUACCCAAUGGGCUGGAGGCACUCUAAUUGCCCGAGAGCGAGGAAUGUCGUGCAAUGUUGCUAAUCAAGGGGAGAGUUUUUUUUGAUGAAUCGAGAGUUAGUUCUUCUCGAAGGAAAGAGUCCCCUCGUAACCUCAACUUUUGCGGGAUCUUUCUUUUCCCGCUGAGAAAAUCACGGAGCUUGUUUUCCAGGUGAUGCUUCCAAUGCUUCCAAGCCAUUAUCACUUAAGCAAUCAGCGUAUCACGGGAUAGUAGAGUUUCAUAUGGACAGAUUGAAGACCGAGAGUGAAUCUUCUUUUUUUUUCUUUUUUCGCCCCUUUAGUGGUCCUAUUAGAAUGAGGGCUAGAGCACCUCAUUUAUGUGAUAUACGGGGUUGGAUAUAUCAGCUUCUGACACGUUAAUUAUAUAGGCUUGUAUUGUUGUUUGUGGAGUUUUGGAUUUCAUCUAAACAUUUGGAAGGAUAAUCAAAGAUCUCCGUUGUAAUCACCCAAAGCGAAGUCGAAUCUGAUAUACUCUGGAGUGUACUCCGAAUGCAUGUUGUGGUUUGAAUGUACUUUGAUACCAGAAGUUUCCGGCUUGUUGCAUCCGCUUAUUUGCUCUAUCUUACUGAACGUACAUGCAGGAGCAUGAUGAAAUUACAGUUCCUUCUCUUGUGGACAAGAUAGGGUUCUUUAGCCUUUCGCGUCUUCUUCUCCGUUGCGAUUGAACAGGGGAGCUGCACCAGAAGACUUGUAGUUGACUUAUUAUCAUGACUUUCACUGCAGGUCGAAUUGCGUUGACGGUCUUUUUUAGUCGUCCAGAGUCCCGUCAUCAUACACUUUUUCCCCUGGAAAUCUGCUCCGUGCAUAGUACAUGUGGGGCACGCUUGUCCGAUCUGACCUGCCCCACCUUUGCAUUUUCUCGGUCAAAAUUCCUAGACUGAGACGUCAUGGAUCCUCCUGUCCGGGGUGUGUCACAUUUGUAAUUUCUCGGUCCAGAUUCCUAGAUCGAAACGUCAUUGAUGCUCUGGUCCUGCGGCAUGCACCCCUCCCCUUUUUCCCUUUUCCUUUUUUUCUUUCCGUUUCUGUCAUGCUUGCGCUUGGCCCUUUCUACUGGAGCUGAGGCCGUCCACUUUUCUUGUUCUCCUCUCCAUCUUCUUCGAUUCGUCUCGAAUUGUAAGGAUUGCCAGUGAAGUCGCUACUUCGGUUCAUGUGCGUGUCAAGGUAAUGGCGUUCAGGAACAUCUGAAGUGCUUCAAUCCACGGAUUCCUCCAUAUGUAGUUUCUCAAGAUUUGCCACGUAAAGUUUGUAUGAUGGUAGAAGUUAUUUUAGUUACUUUGUCAAUUGUUCAAUUUUGCUCGAGUUCAAGCAUGCAUGCAGGUGUGGCAAACAAACAGGAAAGCGUACGUACACGGACAUGAGAUUAAAAGAUUAUCAAGUUUUUUCGUUCAAAGAUAUUUCCUUGUUUUUAGGAUUCUCGAUAGCAUUUCAAUAUAAAAUGACUUUGAUGCUGUUUUCGUUAAUUCGAACUAGCAUUUUGAUGUUGGUCGGCGGUUGUACUCCGACCACCGUGAUUGGCUAAUGCUUGGAAGUGAACCGGUUCACGAGAGUGAGGGCAUUGUUUUUUUUUUUUUUUUUAAAAAAAGACACGUACUAUUCCUUGGUGACCAUUAGUUGCAAGCUCCAGCUCCGUGGACUUGCUCACACCGCAAACCGUCUCAUCGUUAGCCACUGAUCGUGAAUUCUUUGCACCGGUCCCGUUUUGGAAAUAAAAAAUCCAAACUGGGUAAUUUUCUUGAACUAAAUUUCAUCUUGAUACUAUUGCCUAAAUUGAAAUAUCUGAUGUCAUAGUGAUUUCAUCGAGACUUUAGGCAUUAUCCAAUAGGAUAUUAUUGGCAAAAAUAAAACUUUAAUUGCCAAUUUGAUCAGUAAGAUUUCCGAUUAUUUUUUUAAUUAUGUUGAUUUUGAUGAUAUUUUGACUUUAAAAUCAUCAAAAUUAUUAAUUUGAUCCGUGAGACUUUGGAUCAAUUUUUAAUUAUUUUGAUUUUUCUUGACUGUUGUGAUGUUUAGGGUUAGAAUAAUUGUUAAUUUAAUUCAUGAGACAAUGGAUUAUUUUUUUCAAUUAUUUUAAUCAUUUAUUUGAUGAAUAUUGAAUAUAAUGCUUAUAUUUGGAAAUUGUUUGUUUUGAAAAAAUCCAAAAAAAAUCAAAUUGUGUAUCAAAGUUUCCUAAAAAAAUCUACUCGCACUAGUAAUCCUCUUCCCCCGAUGAUUCUCUCAAAUCGAAUCUUUUCCUUACAGAUCACGUGAAUCGACGUGCCAAAAUCGAGCUCGGAGGAGGCGAGGCUUUUCACAAGGGGAGAGCCCAUCGAUCGCCCGAUUCACUCGCACGUGGUGAGGGUCCGUUCCCGCACCAACAGGAGAAACCGCCAGCCUCCGCAGCGCUUCAUCAGGCCGAGAUAUUGGACUUGAUCGCCGGAGCAGGUGCAGGUGCGUGUCGUCCCUUUAUAGACAGCCAUCUCUUCAUGGCGUGGACACUCGGCCUCUUUCGCGAGCAUCGCCUGAGCCUUUGCCGUAUAGAUCAGGGUUCCCUAACGGACGAGGUGGAGAGGCAGUACCCUCGCCAGUGGAGAUAUGUCAGGUUGUUAGGGUUUUGCCGUUCUACCUUUUGCAUUGCUAAUGUGGCUGACCGUGAGGUUGCUAUGUGGGAUCCGAUCUCUGAUCGCCAUAGCGUCUUGUCAGCAGAUGCUGAGAUACCCCAUGGAUUGGAUCUCUCUGUUUAUGGAUUUGGGUAUGAUGAAUGCAAUGCUGAGUUCGUGUUGUUGAGGGUGGUUCAGACCUUGCGGAGGCCAAUUGUAUCUGAAGUUAGCAUCUAUAAAUCAGAAGCUAACGUGUGGAGACGGCUCCAAGGGAUGUCAUACUUUUUGGUUGAGCCAGGCAGAAUGGGAGUUUACCUGCGCAGCCGUCUGCACUGGAUAAUGAGACGCGAGUGGGUGCGAAAUUCGGCAAAAGUGUUGGUGGCUUUUGAUAUUCGUAGUGAGAGUUUUGUGGAGGUGGACCAGCUUAAUGUUAUAGACAAUAGGCUUCGUAUGGAUUUGGCCGUCCUGGAAGAGCAUCUUUGCCUUACCGUGUCGAUGUGUGGAUUAUGAGAGAAUAUGGAUUGAACCAACCAUGGGAUCUGUUGUUCUCGCUACGUGACCACUGGUGGAGUUUCCGACCUGUCCGGCCAUUGGCUUACUCCCAGGAUGGUGGUCAAAUUUUGGUGGAAGUGGGCAGUGAGACUAUGACUCUUGGUUGUUACAAUUUACGUACCAAAGACGUCGAGCAAUUACACCAUAUAAACGGCAUGCCAAGGACCUUCCUAGCAGCAGCAACUUUUUCGUGGUAUUAGGGAACUGCCAAAAGAUAUGGGGUAAGUAUUUCAUGGAAAGUAGCUAGUUCUUUGCUUUUCGUAGAUAGGCCUUUAAUUAAUAACUUGGUUAGAUGUGAAGCGAAAGAAACCUUUUUUCCACGGCAUAAAUAUACUGCUUGAGGAUAGCUCUUUUUAGAGGAAGAAGAUCUGUUCAAUUGAUGCGAGGGAUGGUGGGAUCCUCUCUUUUUGUGGACUAGAUAACUUUUGGGAAUUCAAGGAGAGCUACUAAAGUGGUUUUGUGAUCUAAUUAAUUUGAAAAUAUGGACAAAGAAUAGAGGAGAUGAUUGAGAAAUAAGGGGAGCUAAUGUGGGAAUUGGGAACUUGGAAUUGAAGAUUACGUGCCAAAUCAUGUUUCACAAAACAAAAUAGUCGUGUACUCCUUUAUUUUUAUCUGUAUUUUUGCUGAUGAAAGAAAGAGUAAGGUUGUUUGAAAGGAGAAUCCAUGCUAUAGGAGAGGAGUCUAUGCGUAAUGCAUGUGAGCAGAACACAUUCACUAAGAUUUCUGUGGAAACAAUAGGUUAGAGAACAUCUAUUUAAGAGCUAAAACGGACAAAAAAGAAAAAGGGAACGUUUUUCAUUGCUCUAAUUUGUAGGGUACCAAUGAGUUGGAUCGAAGUUCCCUUCAUCGCAAUUACUGCCUUAUUCAACAUGUUAGCUUUGAGACCACGAAAAUUAAGGGAAAAAGACGCGUGUUAGUUUAUUCCGGUUACGUUCCAUCGACCGUACCGUUAUGACUGCUUAAUGAUAGAUUUAAUUGUCGGUCUGCUUAGUCAGUUAGCGGGGGACUAAUACCUGUCAUUAGUUAUCAUUGUUAUAUAGAAUCUGCAACAUGAUGUCUCUGGUAAAUAUUUUGGUGACUUGACUUACUCGCACCUCUCAUUUUCACUCUUGUUGUUGAUCUUUUAGUUAACUAGAAACUGCCUUCCUCUUGUCCAGGUACGACAACCUUCCAGACUAUUUCCAGCUACUCUCUGAGCUAAUGGAGUCGUGUAAGUGGUUUUGCCGAACAAAAUUCAUCGAGCAUGAUAUUUUGUAAAUAGGACUUUAAUUAAGAAAAUACAGCUCCAUUUGGGCUGUCUAUCUUAUUGAGGAGGGAGGCGGACAGUUACUGUAACUAAUUAGUGAAAUUUUGCAUUGGAUAGUGGUUUCCUUCUCUUGAUGAACCAUCUUAUGAUGGCACAUGCUGUCUUGUCCCAUUGGUAUGACAUGCAAUGGAGGAAUGAAAUGGGAGCGAAAGUUUUAGAUAUCUAGUAUGAAGGAGAUCUUGAAGGAUUCUAUUGGCGAGUUUCCCUGACAUUUGUACUUUAUAACUUGACAUAUAUGAGAUGCUUUAUAGAGUUUAUUUGGAUAUUGUUGUGUUUGUUUGAUGUCAUUGAUGCAUUGUUCGUGAUAACUUUCAGACAUAAAUUGCUAUAAAAAAUGAGAACCUUUUCUAUUUACUAAUUAUUUCAAGUAAGCGAUCAUUUUUUCCAAAUCGUUCAUCUUUUGCAAAGUAAACAAAACCUUAAAGUCUUGCUUCUUUCCUUUGAUUUUGCCUUGUAACAUCGUCACAGGAACAUUCAAAGUGCUUCAAUUUGAAUUCCUCCUUAUGUAGUUUCUUAGAAUUGCCAUGUAAAGUUUGUAUGAUGGUAGACACUAGUUACAAGUUACUUGGUCAAUUGCUCAAUUUGGUCAGAGUGCGAGCACAUAUUCAGGUGUGGUAAGAAAACAGGAAAGCGUUUAUACAUGGACUUGAGAUUGGAUGAUCACCAAGAUAUUUGUUUGAACUUGUUAUUUGAAUUCUCGACAGCAUUUCAAUAUGGAAAGACUUCGAUACUGUUUUCCUAAUCCAAACUAGCAUUUCAAUGCUGACCAUCGGUUGUGUAGUCUGACCACAAUGACUAGCUAUGCUUGGAAGUGAACCAGUUCACGGAAACAAAGGCAUUGCUAGUCACUCAAGCAUCCUCAUUCACCCUUUGCCUUCUCACCAACUUUACGCUUCCAUCCAUAAUACGACCUCAAGCUGUCACACUGAAUGAGCCGAUUUAUGAAGCCGUCCAUUCUACAAAGGUAACAAUUUAAGGAGAAAAAUUACUAAAAUUUCGGGUCAGGUGAAGUAGAAGUAGCUAAAUUUGUAUUUUAUAUAAACGGGUCAAUUUGAAUUGGAUCAUUUUCAAUCCUAUCUAAUUUUGAUAUGGAAAGACUUCGAUACUGUUUUCCUAAUCCAAACUAGCAUUUCAAUGCUGACCAUCGGUUGUGUAGUUUGACCACAAUGACUAGCUAUGCUUGGAAGUGAACCAGUUCACGGAAACAAAGGCAUUGCUAGUCACUCAAGCAUCCUCAUUCACCCUUUGCCUUAUCACCAACUUUACGCUUCCAUCCAUAAUACAACCUCAAGCUGUCACACUGAAUGAGCCGAUUUAUGAAGCCAUCCAUUCUACAAAGGUAACAAUUUAAGGAGAAAAAUUACUAAAAUUUCGGGUCAGGUGAAGUAGAAGUAGCUAAAUUUGUAUUUUAUAUAAACAGUUCAAUUUGAAUUGGAUCAUUUUCAAUCCUAUCUAAUUUCGAUGCUAUCCACUCAUCUGACGGGUGUACCAAUUGGCUACAAGCCCAAUUGCUUCAAUUUGCCACCGUUAAUAGCUAGUCAGCAUAAGCCUAUAACAUUAUUGCUUCCAAUCAGUUUGAAACUUUCACCGUAUGAGAAUUUUUUUUUUCCCUCCCAAUUAAUGAUAUCUUACGCAUGUUAGAUUGUCCUUUUGUUAGUAAAACUAUUUCCAAAAAACAACUUGUAAGUGCUUCUGCGUGGCCAAGGCUUGCCAUGAUUGCUAAUUAAUUUUUCCCCAUGUGCCCUGUGUAUUGGUCAGAGAAGGAAAUGCAAUAGAAAAAAUGAGCCAAGAGGACAUGCCAUAAUUUUUGUACUACACUCAUUUUAAUGUCAAAAAAUUUCAAACGGUCAUUAAGUGCCUUUAAAAGAUGCCGUUAGAGUCCUUUCUUGCCCCACUUUAAGGAUUCAAGACUAAAGUAGGUUGCAAUUCAAAACCUAACCCCUGCUUCCACUUGCAAAUCAAAAUCAAUGCUUCAUCUCGAACGCCACGCCCCUCCUCCUUCGGCCACCACCACCAUCAUCAUUUGAACUCCCUCUCUCUCUCUCUCUCUCUCUCUCUCUCUCUCCCUAAGUCCUCGGUGCCCAUAAUUCCUCCUCCCUUCAUUUUGAAAGCCACGUCGCAUUAUUUAUUCUAAAACAAUGGCACGUGAUAUUUUCGGCAACACAAGUGGCCAAUAUAACUUGAAUGAUCGAUUUUUAGAAGUCGUGGCACUUAAAUGAUCGCCUGGAAAGUUAUAGCGACAAAAUGAGCAUCAUACGAUGGCGCUGUUAGUGUCCUUCUCCAAAGAAUUGAGGAGCCAAAAGCUAGUUGCUUUUUAGUAGUGGGAUAAGUGGCUUAGCUUUUGACAAUCUUUUGAAGGACAGGAAUAUUAAUGGAUUUAUCCGAACUGCAUAUUUUUACCUUUCCAAGCAGUAGAGAAGUAAAAUUUUCGUUCCAUGAAAACGAACGGCCAAAAUUGCUGUCAGCAGAACGCAAAGAGGAACAAAUUAGCACAAGAAAACCUACUGUCAGACAAGCCUGCUGACAAGAACCAAACAACUUGAAAUUCAAGCUAUGCAUGGCAAGAUUCCCUGAAGAUGGCAUAAUAGGUCUAUACUUGAACCGAUAGCCGCUCUUGUUCUGGACUUCCAACCAGCUAACCUGCCAUUGACAUCAUUAUCAAAGCGUUUACGAAAAAUUGAUGCUCUAGAACUCUACAAGGGUGUGAUGCCCCCACAGGAAGAAUGUGACAUUUGGAAUCUGCAACAUUCUCCCCAAGAAUACUUCAAUGUCCUCAAUCGAAAUUACAGUUUACUGCAGUAGUGGCAAGGGUUGGGCCUACAAGCGUCCUCCAAAUGGAUGGAUUGUAAGUUCCUCUUGAAAGAUUUUUGUUAAUAAUGAUUGUCACAAUUUGAUGUAGAGUGUAUGAGCAGAGCCUCUAAAAUUGACACUUUCAUGGAAUCCAACGGCAAUCGCGAUCUGUGCAAGGAAAGGGUCCAUUCAUGCCAGUAGCAUAUGCAUGUAGACUUUUAUUGAUCAGAGUCAUAAAAUGAAAAUAAGUUGCUCCAAUGUUCGUCUUCCAAGAGGAAAAAGUGAUGUUGUAAGAGUUGUGGAGAGAAGCAUGGGUAAUCGUGGGUGCGAUCCUGGCUCUAGCAGUUGAAGAACCUCUGUCGAUUCUAAUCUCUUCUAUAAGACAUCAUUUGGUAUUUUGUCACUCACACAUUGAAUAGAGUUGCUGGUCAACGGAAGAUACCUACAUCCGGUUUGAAAGUGUCUGCUGGGAGUAGCCAUCAUGGUGAGUUAUGCUAGGAAGUUUGCUUUUGAUAAGGUUGAAUACUAAUGUACCGCACCUGAAAGUUGCUGCCGUCAUUUUGUAUGAUAGUGCCUAGAAUACUAUUAGACCUUAGCAUUUAUCAUGGCUCGGCCACGUUCGAUCUAGUUCAAUACAAAUGCAUGUGAAGCAUUGUUCCAUAACAAGCUUUGCUACACUGUCCAUUGCCAAUGGGUUGAACACACUCUGAUUGCAUUGUCGUGGCAAGUUGUUGAUCAAUGGGAGAGCUAUUUUCUGAAAAAUUGGAAGUCAGUUGUUCUCCGGUGAAAGAGUUCCCUUAUGACCUCAACUUUUGGAGGGUCUUUCUUUUGCUGCCGGGUCAACCACAAAGCUUGUUUUCCAAGUGAUGCUUCCGAGCCAUCUCUCGCUUGACCGAACAGUAUAUCACUUAUUAUUAGAGUUUCACCUGGACAGAUUGAAGAUCGAAGUAGAAUACUUCUACACUUUUUUCAUCAUUUUUGUUCAUCAUUCUAUUGGCAAGUUGAAUUAGCAUUCUAAUCCCGAACCCGUCAACUAUCUGUGGACUACUCGGCUACUCUUGUGGCGAGAGUAGGUUGCCACAUGCCGAUUGGGGGACGGAUUAGGAACGGCUCCUUCGAGGGCCUUGCUCAGACAUCAAAUAGUCAACUAAGAGGAAUCCAACUACUUGAUUAAAACAAAGCAUUGCGAUGGUUCUUGCGGAUGCUCACGCAAUGUGAUUUCUACCUAGUGCUUUGAAUGUUAAAGUGAAGAAAUUCAAUCAAGCACGGUUAAACAGAGGAAGUAACUAUGACUCUCUUAAGGUAGCCAAAUGCCUCAUCAUCUAAUUAGUGAUGCGCAUGAAUGGACUAAUGAGAUUACCACUGUCCCUGUCUACUAUUCAGUGAAAUCAUAGCCAAGGGAAUGAGCUUGGCAAAAUCAACAUGGAAAGAAGACCCUAUUGAGCUUCACUCUAGUCCGACUUUGUGAAAUGACUUGAGAGUUGUAGGGGCAUCUAGAAAUGGCAAAAGUGAAAUACCACUACUUUUAAUGUUAUUUUACUUAUUCCAUGAACGGAAGCGGGGCAAUGCCCCUUCUUUUAGAUCUAAGGUCCGCGCAUGCAGACCAAUCCGAGUAAAAGACAUUAUCAAGUGGGGAGUUUGGCUAGAGUGGCACAUUUGUUAAAAAAUAUCGUAGGUGUCCUAAUAUAAGCUCAACAAGAACAGAAAUCUCGUGUAUAACAAAAUGGUAAAAGUUCGUUUGAUUCUAAUUUUUAGUACGAAUACGAACCGUAAAACCAUGGCCAAUCAAUCCUUUAGAUCUUCAGAAUUUGAAGCUAGAAGCAUCAAAAAGUUACCACAAGGAUAACUAGCUUGUGGUGGCCAAAUGUUCAUAGUGAUGUUGCUUUUUUAUCGUUCGAUGUUGGCUCUUCCUAUCAUUGUGAAGCAGAAUUCACCAAGUGUCGAAUUAUUCACCCACCAAUAAGGAACGUGAGCUGAGUUUAGACUAUCGUGAAACAAGCUAGUUUUAUCCAACUAAUGAUUGUGUCACAAUUAAUGAGCCAUUCAUAGUUUCAAAACCUGGAUUUGUUCAUACUUAUACAUGCAUAGCUUAAUCUUUGAAACAAGUAUAUGAUUACUAGCAGAAUCAACCAGGUAGCAUUCCUUCACAACGUUCGUCGGGGAUGAUCCAUCGCAAAGCUUAAGGGCUUUACUUGGUCAAAGAUAAGGAAAGAGCGUCAUUCCGGUGAACCAAUAAAUGCUUAACAAUUUAGGAACAAGGGCCAAUGACCCCAUACCCAUGAAGAGGUUCCGCAUUCAAGAGAACAAGUAGACACUCGUGGUCCAUCUGAACAAUCGAAUGAGAUCACGUUCAUGGAACAAGAGCCCUACUAUCUAGUCCAACUGAGCAUCCAAAAGGAUGCUGUGAUGGAAGGGAUAGCCAAAGGCACACAUGUUCAUCACAAUAGGCAUGCAACAUAGGAACCCACGCUUUUUGCAUAUAACGUUAGCUCAUGGAGCAACAACUGAUCGAAAAUGAGAGAAGAGUUCGAUGCACCAACAUAGAGCCUGCCAACACACACAUUCUUAUUGUCUUUCACAUGCCAUUGCAUACACUAGAAAUAAACCAAGCCAACUCAUCCAUAGCUCCUCAAGCAUGAGAACCGAGGACCACAUGGACUCAUCGAAUGAGGUCACAUCUGCACCACUAGACGCUAGAACACCAAUAUCUUGUUCGGAUCAUGGCUUGAUAGCGCGUGGCUCAUUCAUUCAUGCCCGAAGCAUGGUCUCAUCUUACUGAAAGGCAUAGAUUCAUCAAUUCCCAAGUGACUCGGUCACCGAUUCAUCCUUUAUGGCCGCUUGGCUUGAACACAACCCAUGCACUCGGCCAUGAUGCCUGCAUGAGGGGAGCCAUUUCAGUUAAGGGCAAAGCACAUUGAAGUGAAGUAUCAUCAUAUAUGUUAAUUGAUAGAUGAUGAGAUAUUGUCAUUGAAGAAGACCUUUGGUGCAAGAAAUCCAGUACAUAUGUUAACCAAGGCUAUCACCGCUAAGAGAUUGAGGUUGUGCAUUGCCUCAGCUGGCCUCCUUGGUUAGUAAUGAGGAGACUACUGCACUAAGACAUUUUUUGUUAUAAAGACAAGUGAAGAUAUAAAAGACUAUUGCCAGUUUAAAGAUCACCCUCCAGAUGGGAGAUUGAUGGAGUUGUGGGGUUCGAUAGAGGAAAAUAAUAUAAAAAUAGAAGGGUUUUUCAUUGUUAAUAGCAUACAUGUAAUUUAUUUGUUAUAGUAGAGAAAAAUUAUUGUUGCUAAUGGCAUAUAUGUAAUUUUCAUCAUAACUUCGUAUGCUUUAACUCCUACAAAAUGGGACAAUAUCUUUUAUAGUUGUAACUUGUAACUCCGAAAACCGCGAGCUCAUGUGCUUUAUUUUCUGAUUUUGAUUGGGCUUUCCAUGUAAAAUUUCGCUUGCCUUGUUCUCCAAUUUCUUCUCAUCAACGUUGCAUGUUCCUAACAUAAGGGUCCUGCAUAAUCAGAAUAAGAGAAUCAUUGGAGAGACUCCUUUAGCAUCUGCGUAAAAAGAGGAAAGAAAUACUCUGUAACAAUGCGAAGUUUAAUUCUGAUAAGCUGAAAUGGAUCAAGGUUUGGAAGAUUUGUCCACAAUCCUAAACAGGUUCCUCUCAGAGAUGAUUGUCUUAUCUUUUUGGCUGGAUAGUAUACGGGCCGUGGAUUGGCGAGCGUAAGCGAGUCGGGCCUGGCGGAUCCUAGGUAUAAAAAAAAAAAGAAUUAAUGUUUUUAAUAUAAAUUCAUUCCAGGCUCUUUUUUAAUUAUUUAUCUUUUUUAUGAAUUUGAAACAAAUUAAUUUGAUUAAAAUAAUCAUAAAAUGAUAAUUUAUCAUGUAUAUAUAAUAUAUAUUUAAUAUACAACAUAUCUGAACCUGUCGAAAUUCUCUAUUUUUGGAAAAAUGACAUAUCGACGUGUCGUGUCGCGUGUUGGUGUCGAUGUUAUUUAGUUCAUGAUUAUUCUCCUUUUUGUUUUGUCAAAUAUUGUGUGGCCCAACUCGACAAAGUUGAAUAAAACAUGCACGUUCUUCCUGUUUUCUUUGUCUCCUACAUAUGCAAAAAAAUAAAUGUAAAAUGAAAUCCAUGGGCAAUUUCUUCUUUUUACAAUUGUGGUUGAACAUAAAUGCAAUCAUGAGUGGGUAGACUGAAGGAGAAGUCCCACAGAAUCACAAGGUCGGCCAAUCUAAUUUAUUUAAACUAAAUAUUAUUCAACAGCUCAAACUCGAGAUAUAUUUUAACAUGAUAUAUUGCCAGCCAUCACCCUAUACAACAGGAAGAAUGGAUGCAUUCAAGUUCGGCAGAUGAAGUCAGUGUCCUAAAUCCUGAAUGUCUCGAUAUCCUGUCAUUUACACGGAAAAGGAAAAAGAAGCCACAACAGUAAGAUCUAAAUAUUACCUAUGAAACCGCGUCAACUUUGGAGAAGUGGAGAAGAAAAAGCCCAACAUUAGCGGGUCAUGCAGGCUGUACUGUCAAAAAUGAUUGCUGUUGGGAGCUAUAGGUCCCACUCAAACCAUUUUGCUAUGGCCAAACGAAACUCUUCUGGUCAUUAAAUACCACUAUCCCGAAGGAAUAUUGGCAUUUUGUGAGUGCGCUUACACAGAGGAUCUAAGCACUGUAAGCUUGGUUCACAGUAAUCCCAUUUUUAUCCCUUUCGAUCUGCCUGUAACAGGUGAAAUUUCCCAGGGCAAUUUUCACAAAUGGUUCUUGAAUUUGUUCAUCAUUGUUCUUAUGAUUGUGUAUUUGUGUAUUCUUUGCUCGUCUGCUCGCUGUUUCAAGCACUUCAAAGCAGCACAAUUUACAAUAUAACUGCAUCAAGGCCACUCAUUCAGAACCAAACCCUUGUCUCUCCUUGUAAAAUCUUCGAGCUCGGGUUCUUCGGGCCUAAUGGAUCAGAAAAGCAGUACGUAGGAAUAUGGUACAAGAACACGACUUUCUCCAAAGUUGUCUGGGUGGCCAACAGGGACAAGCCACUUGGACACAAAGAUCAAUCUGCAAGUUUGAUAAUUGGCGGAGAUGGAAAUCUGAAGCUUCUAGAUGGGCGAAAAAAUGCUGUCUGGUCUACAAAUGUCAUGGCGAAGUCUAAUUAUUCUGCAGCAGUGCUUUUAGACUUUGGAAACCUUGUUCUUCAAGACGGGAAUGCAAAUGAAAUGUGGGAAAGCUUCGAUGAGCCAACCGACACUCUCCUGCCAAACAUGAAGAUCGGAGUAAACGUGAAAACAGGAAAGAAAAAAUACUUGAUUUCCUGGAAAGGUGAAGAUGAUCCUUCGCCCGGAAGCUUUGUCCUUGGAGUAACGUCGGAGACACCACCUCAGCUUUUCGCUUGGAAUGGAUCAAGUCCAUACUGGAGAAGCGGACAGUGGGAUAAAUCCAAGUUUAAUGGAAUACCGAACAUGAGCAACAAAUACCUGAGCGGCCAUCAGCUUGUGCAAAAUAUCAACCAGGGAACGACAUAUUAUUUCCGCAAUUAUUACAACAACUCCUUUGGAUAUGUUUUCAUCUCAUCGGAAGGAUCUAUAGAGUCUGUUCGUUGGGGGGAUGGAUGGUCAACAAACUGGGAAGCAUCACGAACUAACCGCUGUGAAAUUUAUGGAACAUGUGGUCCUUUCGGAGUUUGCAACACGUUUAGUUCACCUAUAUGCAGCUGCUUAAAAGGGUUUAAACCCAGGUCAGAUGAAGAGUGGAACAGAGGAAACUGGACUGGAGGGUGCGUUAGGAAAAUGGAAUUGAAUUGUCAGAAAUACGCACAUGCAGCAGCUAUGACGACUGUGGAAAAAGAUGUGUUCUGGCCAAUGAAACAUAUGAAAUUGCCUGAUUCUGCUGAUUAUUUGUCAAACAUAGCUGAUGCAGAAGGAUGUCGAAGUUGGUGCCUAGGAAACUGCUCGUGCUUGGCCUUUUCUUAUGUGGAGACUGUAGGAUGUAUGGCUUGGUGUAAAAACCUCAUAGAUACUCAGCAAUUCUCCAGAGAAGGCAAAGAUCUAUUUCUUCGACUUGUGGAUGUGGAUAAAGGUUGGAAAGGUUGAAUUAAUUUGCAUUUAAUCUUGCACUGCCUGUGGUUCUUAUAAUGUAUUUUCCCAGUUCAGGUGUACCUCCGAAGACAAAACUCAUCAUCAGCCUAAGUACUAUUUCUGGCAUCGUGUUAUUCGGAGCUGGCAUUUCAGUGUGUGGUCUUUUCAAGUGGAGAGGUAAUAAAAGAUGUGCACUUCAUGGCUGUGUAAGUGAGAUUUCAUGUUAACCAAGACAUAAGAAUAUUGUAUCAUUUGUAAAGCAAUGGCUUCAGAAGCUUGGCAAUCACUACAAUAGAAACACUGUUGCUUCUCAUGUUCUCACGCUUAUUAUCAGUCGUUUUUAUUUUGUUUGUAAAAUUGCAGGGAAAUUUAGGAAAAUGACAAUCCCAAGGGUCCUUAAUUCAAAGGCCACAGCCAACAGAUCAGAGGAAUUGCUGAGGGAAACUGCAUGGAAAGGGAAAAUGAAGCAAGGUGAUGCGUCGGAAUUAAUGGUUUAUGAUUUGGACAGCAUACUCCUUGCAACGAACAACUUCGACGUGAAGAACAAACUUGGGCAGGGAGGGUUUGGCCUUGUUUAUAAGGUAAAGAAAAAGCCUUCGCCGAGGGAAAUACGGAGAUUAUCCAAGAUCUGAUUGUUAUGUUCGUUUGAAAACAGGGAAAGCUGAACGAUGGUAAGGACAUAGCUGUGAAAAGACUUUUGAGCAGCUCAGGCCAAGGCGUUGCAGAGUUCAAGAAUGAGAUCCUUCUGAUAUCCAAACUUCAACACCGAAAUCUGGUGAGACUUGUUGGUUACUGCACUGAAGGACAAGAAAAGAUACUAGUGUAUGAGUACUUGCCGAACAAGAGCUUGGACGCCUUUCUUUUCGGUUUGUCUCACUCUCUGAGGAACUUAUUUCUGCUUUCAACAAAAUACCGCAGUGAAACUAGAUAUUGUUUCUGUUUACCACCUUGUUUAGAUUCAAAAGAGAAGGCAAAACUCAGCUGGGGCAUCCGCUUCCACAUUAUCCAAGGCAUUGCAAGAGGGCUGCUCUACCUCCACCGUGAUUCUUGCCUUAGGGUCAUACAUAGAGAUUUGAAAGUGAGCAACAUUCUCUUGGACGAAAAAAUGAAUCCCAAGAUUUCAGAUUUUGGGCUAGCGCGGAUGUUUGAAGGCACUCAAGUUUUCCUAAAUACUCACAAAGUUGUGGGGACACUGUAAGCAUUCUAUCAUCGGUCUUAAGAGUACUUACUCAUGAGGCAAUUUGUCACCUAGACAGCAGAUUAGCAGUUUAAUGUGCUCACCUUUCCCUUCAUGCAUGUUCCAACUAUUGUCCUUUAAUAUGACCAAGAAAAUUCUUCCAUUUACAUCCAAUGGUUCCAAUAAGCCAAUUAUGAGGUGGCUAGUACUAUCACCUUGAGGGGAUGAAUAUGUGAUUAUGCACAAUUAAAGCGGAAUUUAAAACAAUGAAGUUCAAUAUUGUGAAAGAACAACAUUUGAUGAAAACUACGAAGGGAUCAGAACUAUUGUGUGCAAUAAAAUAUCAAUCAAAAUGAAAGAGAGGUUAAGGGCCAGAAUAUAUUGCACAUGACAGUUGGCAACAGUUAUAGUAGUUCGGCUUAUAGUAAGCUAAUAUCCACUCUCUCAUUCCGAUAGCCUAUUGGCUAGAUUUCACUAGAGAAUCAAUUAGAGAUUAUAGAGUCUGAGUACUCUCCAGAAUGUGUGAUCAUAUCUUCUAAUCUCACAUGGUCACUCUAAACGACAGCCUCUCAGAGAUUACAAUUUCAACUCAGAGAGACAAGUAUGAAAAUGUCGAGGCUCUCUUUGAACUUUAGAAUUAUAGACUUCAAAUCUUGUUUUCUUUUAGCACCAUGAUCUCCUUUUAUACUCUUCAAUUUCCAAGCUGACCGUUGGACUGAGGAUCAUUCAUCCAAUCCACCCGUUGGACCUAAAUGAUAUGAGAAGAUCUGAUUGCUACUUGGAUUACAAGAUUAGAAUCUUCUUAUGAUUCCAUUGCCCAUACAACAGACGUUGGGUUUCCAUAAGUAGAGUUCUUCAUUAGGUAAGAGCGCCUCAAAAUGAUUCUCAUAUGAAUCAGGAAUCCUUAAUGUUUUGUCAAUCUUCAAAACAUAUUGGGAAUUUUUCUCAACAAGUUUGUUCAUAGUAAUUAUAAACCAGUUCUGUAACGCAAAUGCUAAAAGGUAUUAGAAAGGCAGUACUAGUCGAUUUGGUUUCUGACCUCUCAUGCCAUCGUCCUUGAGUCUGAAUUUUUGUUUGAACUGUAUUUCGUGAACCUUCCAUUUGUAUGAGUUUUUAUACCUUUAUUAUGAUGAUGGCAUCCUAGUAUGAGAACAUAACAUGUCCAAUUCAUACAGGGGUUACAUGUCUCCCGAAUAUGCCAUGGGUGGGAUAUUUUCUGAAAAAUCUGAUGUUUAUAGCUUUGGAGUACUGAUAUUGGAGCUUAUCAGCAGCAAGAAGAACACAAGUUUAGAAUACCAUGGACAGCAUCUCAAUCUCCUGACCUAUGUAAGCGUCAGAUCUAACUUCAAACUAAUAUCUCCAUUCAGGUUUCAAUCAUCGGUAAUCCCUGGGACAAUCUAAAAAUCAACCGGUUGUUACAGGUAUGGCACUUGUGGCAUGAAGGCAGAGGAUUGGACCUAAUGGAUGAAGCCAUUGGUGACGCAUUUUUGCCUUCAGAAGUGAUGAGAUGCAUUCAAUUAGGGCUUCUCUGUGUGCAGGAACAUGCCGCAGAUAGACCUGACAUGUCAGCCGUGGUUCUAAUGCUAAGUGGGCAAUCUGAUCUUCCACAGCCAAAGCAACCAGCAUUUACAUUUCAACGCUCAACGACUCAUGAAGUCCAAUCAGAAGAAGAAUACAUUCGGUCCAGGAAUACCAUCACCAUUACUUUGGCUGAAGGAAGAUAAAACUCUAAUAUGCAUUGUCUCUGACUAAUUCAUCUUUCCAAGAAUUCAGCGUUUAUCAAAUUAUCUGCUUGAAUAAAUAAUCUGUUGUUGCACUAAUGCGUUGAUCUAUGAUGUAAACAUAGAGACAGUGAGGGGCUCCCAGUUGCCAUCGCUCUAUUAGAAGAGUUUUAUGUGUGCACGAAGGCACAAAAAUUCAGAAAGUCUGUAUGCAUCGAGAUAAUCUCAAUAUGAAUAUGAAUACUUUGAGUGUUCUUCACUGUGGAAUUGGUAUGUGACUGCGCAUUCAUUUUGGUUGUCAAAAUUGAUACCAUUCUGAUGUCAAAGCAUAUUCUUGAUUUGCUCUGAGAAGUUGAUGUCAUUUUGAGUGUCCUGUCCAAUUGAUGAUACUCCCUCCUUGCAGUUCCAGUAACUUUUCCAUCGAGUUUUGAUUAAGAAGUGGAAAAAGAAAAGGAGAGCAGGAAAGUCUUCCUAUGGACCUUUCUGUCUUGGAGAUGGUCAAUAGCCAAAUUAUGCGAUCCAGGAUCAUCGUCACACACCCACUAUACCCUUAAAAUAAGCCUUCUCUGAGCGAAGAAAGAAAGGGAGUUUGAGGAAAAUGACAAUCCCAAGACUGAUUAAGUCAUUGGCGACAGCCAACAAAUCAGAGGAACUGCUAACAAAAUUUGCAUGGAAAGAGCGAAUGAAGCAAGGUGACGCAUCUGAAUUGCUGGUGUAUGAUUUUGACAGCGUACUCCUCGCGACAGACAACUUCAAUGCGAAAAACAAACUUGGGCAGGGACGGUUUGCCCCGUUUAUAAGUUAAAAAUAAGCCUUCUUCGAGGGAAAUACAGAGAUCAACCAAGAUCUGAUAGCUAUGUUCAUUUGGAAACAGGGAAAGCUGAAUGAUGGUAAGGAGAUAGCUGUGAAGAGACUUUCGAGCAUCUCAGGCCAAGGCAUAGCUGAGUUCAAGAAUGAGAUCCUUCUAAUAUCCAAACUACAACACCGAAAUCUGGUGAGACUUGUCGGUUACUGCACAGAAGGAGAAGAAAAGACAAUAGUGUACGAGUACUUGCUGAACAAGAGCCUGGACGCCUUUCUUUCUGGUUUGUCUCACUCUCUGAAGAAGUAAUUUCCAUUUUCAACAAGAUAUGGUAGUUGAAGGCUUUAUUUGAUUUGGGCUUAAGGCCCAUCCGCCAAAGUUGGGCCUAGAAAGCCCGGCCCACGGGAAUAAAGCCCGUGGAAAGAGGGAGGUAUAAAAGGGAGGAGAGAGAGAGAAAAACAACCGUUGGUAAAUUGUAUGUACACUGUUUUUCUCUCAACGCUCUCUCCCUCUCUCCCGUUUUCUCCAAAAGCGAACCAGUGAAGCAAUUGAAGGAGUUUGCCUCCUCGGAUCGAACAAAACUCGAUUUCUCUUCCUCUAACGGCGUCGGUGUCUAAUCUCUGGCAAUCAAGGUACGCUCGAAUCCGUGGUGUGCUUUACGAUCGGUGAUACGUGUCGUUUUCUUGGGCUUCGCUUCCGCAUUCAUUUAGGGGUUCGAUUUAGUGUCGAAUCCGGUAUUUCGGGGAUCAGUAAUUCCCAACAUUGGUAUCAGAGCCCGCUUUCACGUUUUCCCGAUCAAUUUCAUGUUCUUUGAUUGAGUUUUUCGCGAAGAAACUUUCGGCCGUACGGAACCGGGCGAAAAUCCCGACACCCGAGACUUCUUCGGCCAUUUUCAUGAGUUUUAGAAUGUCAAAAACAAAUUCUGAAAGCACUGGGAGAAAGGCGACGUCGAGACGAGUCUGGAGAUGUCUCGAGCGCGGCCGGGCGACGCCGCACGCGCCCACGCGCGCGGCCGGAAGGCGCUGCGCGUGGGCGCGACGCGCCCGGAAGCGCUCGAUCGCCAGGCGCGUGUGUCACACGCGCCGGUUGGCGAAUCGGCGCGUGCGCGCCGCCGGCCGGUGAACCGGCACGCGCCGGUCCACGGACCGACGUGUGCUGACGUCAUCAUGACAUCACCCAACGGUCAGUAACCGCUGGGCUGACGUCAUCGAUGACGUCAGCGAUGACGUCGGUUGGCCGGGCGGCGACCUGACCCGCGAACCGACCCGACCCAACCCGACCGGCUGACGAUGGCACGUGCGUGGCAGGUGCCGCUGACGUCUGCGUGACGUCAUCCUGCGCACGCGCGCGGCACGUGCAGCCGGUUCGCCCGAACGGUCCGACCGGUCCGACCGGUCUGUCCGGUCUGACGACCGACGACCGUUGACCGGCGACGACCGUUGACCGUUGACUUGACCGUUGACCGACCGUUGACCGUUGACCCAAAAAAAAAAAAAGGGAAAAGAAUGUGUUUCUUUUUCAAUUAAGUCUAUGUGGAUUAUAUGUAAUCCCUUAUUUGUUCUGCAUUUGUUGUAGGAACAAUGCCUCCCCUGAGGUUGCGCACACCUAUUCGCGCAGUGACCGAUGAACAAAAGGAAAGGCUGUCUAAGUUGAUAGCUGAGCUGACUGAUCAUCGAUGGGAGAGUGGUGGCUUAAUUGAUCACGUCCUUGAAGUCAACGGGAAAAUUCAACAGGUCAUAUGGAAUGGUCGUCCUAUGUCACAGUCAGAGAUGGUGCGAUUUUUCAUAAACACUCUUCCACCUGAAUGGCAAGAUGUGUUGAAUCGCAUAUGGGAUGUCAACAGAGCUGCUUCCUAUAAGAAAAUUGUGAUGGAUUUUGUAAAUGAAUAUUAUUGUAUUGUUUCGAGGGAAAAGAUCAAGAAAUUGAACAAAAGAGGAUCUUUCCCAGUUCGUGUGCUGACUUGGUGUUAGUUGUAUUGACUGAUAUAUGUUAAGUGUGAUUUGUGGACAUAUUAUGUAAUGAUUACUACCUAAUUGUGUUAAUUGAAAGCAUUAUUGUUUUUAUUAAAUGUUCUAUUAUAUAUUGCUUUCUGUUAUUGCUGGUUGCUAUGGGUAAUUAGCUAUGGGUAGUUUUAGAAGUUUUUGUAGUUUCAUAGAAUUGACUUUGCAUAAGACAAUUAUAUUGAUGAUAGUUUUAAGUUAGGAUUUUGGAGGAUGAUUGGAAACAUAGUGACCUUUUGAUUCUGAAACCUUACUUGAAAUUAUUUAUUAAUAUGAUGGGUCUAUGUAAAAGUGGAUGCAUAAAUAAUAGGCAUUAAUUAUUCGUGCAUGUAUGUCUGAUGUGUUCAGACUGAUGGUUUCAGCAACUAAGAAUGUGAUUGCUGAUAUGAACGGCAACAAUUGUGAAAUAUUGAAUAUGAAGAUUCAAUAUGUGUUGGAAAAGCGAGAAGCACUAGAAGCUCUUGACCAAAUUAUGGAAGAUCUUGAGGGUGCCGUGCGCCACCUUGAGCUAGUAAAGGACCGCCUAACGGCAUUUGAGCCGAAAAUAAAUAUUGGCAAUGUUGGUUCUAGCUCAGAAAGGGCUUUGAGCUCUAAGCGCAAGCAUAUUGAUUCGUUCAAUAUAUGGGCAUGCAAAUGAUCAAGUCCUUAUUGCAAGAAAUUAAGGGUUAACCAACACAAGAGAGGAAAACGUCCUCAAGUAAAUAAAAUGUCAAGGGUGAGGUGUUACAAUUGUGACAAGAGAGGUCACUAUGCUUGCGACUGUCGUGAGCCAAAGAAAGCAUACACCUCUAGUACAUUUGAGAACUUUGCUUAUGUGUCGAGUGCUGCAUUAUUGGCUGAAUCCAAUCCUUUGUGGACUGCAGAUUCAGGAACGACAGACCAUAUAAGAUAGAGGAUCCUUCGUGAAAUUCCGACGAUACCAACUGGAACUAUGUGGAUCUAUGUGGGAAAUAAUUUCAGAGUUGAAGUUAAAGGGAUUGGCACCUGCCAAUUGAAUAUGCGUGGUGGACGCACCUUGUUCCUACAUGAUGUCCUAUAUGCUCCAUAGAUUCGUCGAAAUUUAAGUGUCUGUUUUGAUGUUGGUUAAGCUUGGUUUUAGUAUGAAUUUCCAUAAUAGAUGUGUAGAUUUGUAUUUGGAUACAAACUACUAUGAUUUUGGUCACUUUCUGGAUGGUUUUAUUGUACUAAAUGUUGACUGUGGUGAUGUCAAUAUGUUAUUCCCUUGUUUCACGUCUUCUACUUUAUAUGAUAAUGAUGUGAAUAUGGUGGCAUGCUAGACUUGGUCAUAUGGGCCAACAACAUAUGAAAAGACUAGCCAAAGAGGGCUUGUUGGGCAAUAUUGAAAAAGUCGAUUUGCUCAUAUGUAAGCAUUGCCUAGAAGGGAAAACAACAAUGAAACCAUUUGAAAAAGGUAAAAGAGCUGAAUUUCCUCUGCAUUUAAUCCAUUCUGACGUCUGUGGUUCAAUGAAUGUGAGAGGAAGGCAUGGGGCUGUUUAUUUCAUCACUUUUAUAGAUGAUUCUACUCGAUACGGAUAUGUCUAUUUGAUUUCUCAUAAAUCUGAAGCAUAAGUUGUUUCAAAAUGUUUAUGAACUUGGUAGAAAAUCAAUUAGACAAGAAAAUAAAAGUAUUUAGAUCCGAUCGAGGUUGAGAAUAUUUAUCUGAUGAGUUCAGAAAAUUAUGUGAUGAAAAAUGAAUAGAAAGACAAUUAUCUAUUCUAUAUACUCCUCAACAAAAUGGUGUUGCAGAGAGAAGAAACAGAACCCUACUGGAAAUGGUUAGGUCCAUGAUGGCGCACGCUAACUUACUUAUCACUUUUUUGGAGUGAUGCGUUGUUAACAGUUGCCUGCAUACUUAAUCGGGUGCCUUCCAAAUUAGUUAUUUCCACUCCAUAUAAGUUAUGGAUAGGUAGAAACCGGACUUAAGUUUACUUAAGCCAUGGGGUUAUGCUACCUAUACUCAUAUGUCCUCUCACAAGUUUGGGAAAUUGAGUCCCAGAUAAAAGUAGAGUAUUUUAAUGAGAUACUCCGAACACUCGAAAGGAUAUGUGUUCAUAGGUGAGCAGGAAAGUGGGAGAAUAACUGAAUUUUGAAUCACGGGAUGUCACAUUCUUAGUGGAUGAAUUUCCUUAGAGGGGCGAAAUAGGGGAAGAUUACUUCCUAUUUGAAACCUUGGAUCAAGAUAAUGAUAUUAGUGGAGUUCAUCCAAGUGGGAGUAAUAUGAGAUGUGAUGAAUUGAAUUCAAUUUAUUCUCAAUUGCAACCACCUGAUGUGACGACAUCAUCAUUACCUAAUCCAAGUGGGAGCAUAAUUGGGAAUGAUGUGCUAAGUGUACAAUCUCCCAUACGGUGAACAAGUCGCCAAAGUAUUCCCCGUCGAUGUUUUGACAUUGAAAAGGAAACUUUUAUGGUUGCUCCGCAAGAUGAGGAUGAGCCGAGAAAUAUUAAUGAGGCUCUUAAUUGCCCUAGUAAGAAAAAAUGGAUUAAUGCAAUGGAAGAGGAAAUGGAGUCAAUGAAGUCAAACCAAGUCUGGGAACUGGUUGAUCUUCCAAAAGGAUGCAAAGCCAUUGGGAACAAGUGGGUUCUCAAAAUAAAGCGAAAGGCUGAUGGCUCGAUAGAAAGGCAUAAGACUCACCUUGUGGCGAAGGGGUAUAAUCAACAGGAAGAUAUUGAUUAUGAAAAUACAUUUUCUCCUGUAUUGAGAUUUACCUCGACUCGCAUAAUUCUGGCAAUAGUGGCUAGUCUGGAUCUUGAGUUACAUCAAAUGGAUGUAAAGACUGCUUUCCUCAAUGGAGAAUUAGAGAAAUAAAUAAAUAUGGAACAACCUGUCGGUUUCAUAGUGAAAGGCCAAGAAGAAAAUGUAUGUCGACUUUGGGGGUCGAUAUAUGGCCUUAAGCAGUCGUCAAGACAAUGAUAUAUACGUUUUCAUAAUGCCAUAAUAGCAUAUGAUCUUACAAUGAUAGAUGAGGAUCAUUGUAUAUAUAUCAAAAGAUCCAAGGAUCAAUUUGUGAUCAUAUCAUUAUAUGUUGAUGAUAUACUAAUUGCCGGAAGCAAUAUGGAGUUGGUUAAUACUGUCAAGAGACAGUUGUCUUCCAACUUUGAGAUGAAUAAUAUGGGAUUGUAAACCCAUAAACACUCCUAUUGCAAAAGGUGAAGGAUUGAGCCAUAGACUGUGUCCAAGGACUCCACAAGAGAAGGAACAAACAAAAUAUGUUCCUUAUGCUAGUGCUGUUGGGAGCUUGAUGUAUGCUAUGAUGUGUACAACACCCAACAUAUGCUUUGCAGUUGGAAUGAUGAAUAGUUACCAAUCCAAUCCAGGUCAAGCACAUUAGAAAGCCGUUAAAAGAAUACUAAGGUAUCUAAAGGGGACUGCUGAUUAUACGCUGAGUUAUUAUGGAAAGGAUCUGUGACUCUAAGGCUAUUCUGAUAUUGAUUGGGGAGGAGAUUUAAAUAAAAGGAAAUCUACCUCUGGGUUUGUUCUCUUACGAAUAAUGGCACCAUAUGUUGGAGCAGUAAGAAACAAAAGUGUAUAGCCUUGUCCACGAUGGAAACUAAGUUCGUGACAUUAUCAGCAGCUGUAUAAGAAAAUGUUUGGCUUAAGAGAUUAUUGGAUCAUUUAGGUGUUAUUGGAAGUGCUGCAGAUUUGUUAUUAGUUAACUAUGAUAAUUAAGCAGCAAAAGUGUACACUAAAGAUCCAAAUAUCAUGGCAAGACCAAACAUAUAGAUACCAAGUAUAAUUUUGUCAAGGAUAUGGUUGCACGAAAGGAUGUGAACUUAGAGUACAUACUACGCAUAGAAUAGUUGCAGAUCCUAUAACAAAGCCAAUACCUAGAGAUGUGCUUUGUGGCCAUGUGAAAUCUCUAGGACUGCAUAGAAACUGAUGUACUAAAUAUUGUAAUUUCCCUAAGUGUUCACAAUUUGAUGAAUUUGUGUUUUCAUCAUUAAUGCCUAUGAAUCUUUGUUUGAUCUUUAUGCAUCUUAAUGCUUAGUGCAUUAUUUUAAGUUGAGAAGUAUGUCGGACAGAUAUAAGAUUAGCCCACUCACACGGGUAAUCGCCUCUAUUUACUGUGUGAUAAAUAGAGAUGAGACUGUUUUUAAGCUUAUUAUCUAGGUGAUAAUCGAGAGCUCAAGCUUAAAACACGCAUGUCGCCUUAACUGAGUGUUAAGAUGAGGACAUAAUACUUACUAUGUCCGAAAGUAAAAUAACCCACAUAUUUUACUUUAUCUGUCUAAAAUGCCAGAUGUGAGUUCUGAUGAAUUUUGUGAUUGAGUAGAUACGUGAACUCAAGUUAGACAUUAGGUAUGUUUGAACUAUCAUCUGUACGGUAUUGAAAAGUGUAGACAUACGCUCCAUGGUAAAGGAGUUAAUACCGUAAUACGUAUUUCAUACUACGUAUGCAUGAGACGACCAAUAAGAGUGGCAAAAAGUUUGAUCUCAACUUUUAUGACGUGUGAGACUCUUGAGGAAAAGAGUUCCUCAAUUUUUUUUAGUCCCCUCAGGACUCUUACUUAUUCUCAAGAUUUCUAUUUAGUGUUUGCUAUCUUAGGGUGUUGCCAAUGGUCAUGUGAUGAUUCGAUCUAAUGGGGCAUUUCUAGAAAAGCAAGCUGGACUGAAAUUGAGAGUUUGAAGGAAAGAGGAAGAUCGAUUUUGGAGAAUCACAUUAUAGUUUUGUAUUCACUGGUCGACCAAUUAUAACUGUCUUUGUGAUAAUUAUAAUUGUGAAUACAAUAUAUAUCAUUGUUUAAAAGAGAUUAAGAGAGAUAUAAAUGUGAUCGAUCGAUCUAGGGUACUGCAUACUAAAUCUACUCGGAGUGUGACGCCCAUUAAUGAGCUGCUAUAUAUUCCUAACAGAUGUAUAGCAACGAGCUCUCAAAGUAUGCUGGUCGCACGGAUUAUUCACCGGUAUGAAUGUUGAAGAGAGGUAAAGAGAAUAUUGUUCGGUCCACCAUGUUAAGAGAGAGUCUAUGAUGGAUUAUUCUCUGAUGGGCCUGAGUAGGGCCUGUCCGCCCAUGUUGGUUUUGGACCACCAUGUGCGAGUGGGAGAUGAAGGCUUUAUUGAUUUGGGCUUAAGACCCAUCCGCCAAAGUUGGGCUAGAAAGCCCGGCCCACGGGAAUAAGGCCCGUGGAAAGAGGGAGGUAUAAAAGGGAGGAGAGAGAGAGAAAAACAACCGUUGGUAAAUUGUACGUACACUGUUUUUCUCUCAACGCUCUCUCCCUCUCUCCCGUUUUCUCCAAAAGCGAAACAGUGAAGCAAUUGAAGGAGUUUGCCUCCUCGGAUCGAACAAGGCUCGAUUUCUCUUCCUCUAACGGCGUCGGUGUCUAAUAUGUGGCAAUCAAGGUACGCUCGAAUCCGUGGUGUGCUUUACGAUCGGUGAUACGUGUCGUUUUCUUGGGCUUCGCUUCCGCAUUGAUUUAGGGGUUCGAUUUAGUGUCGAAUCCGGUAUUUCGGGGAUCAGUAAUUCCCAACAGUAGUGAAACUAGAUAUUGUUUCUGUUUGCUACCUUGUUCAGAUUCAACAGAGAAGGCAAAACUUCACUGGGCCAUAUGCUUCCGCAUUAUCCUCGAGGUCACAAGAGGGCUGCUCUGCCUCCAAUGCAAUUCUUGCCCCAGGGUCAUACAUCAGGUUUUGAAAGAGAGCAACAUUCUCUUGGAUGAAAUGAUGAAUCCCACGAUUUCAUAUUUUGGGCUGGCACAGAUAUUCGAAGGCACUCAAGAUUUGGUUAAUUAAUACUCACGAAGUUGUUGGCACACUGUAAGCUUUCUAUCGCCCCUCUUAAGAGUAGAUACUCAUGAGGCAAUUUGUCACCUAGACAGCAGAUUAGCCAUAUAAUGCGCUCACCUUUCCCCUCGUGCAUGUUCCUACUUUUGUCCUCUAAUAUGACCGAGAAAACUCCUCCAUGUACAUCCAAUGGUCCAAUAAGUCAGCUCGCUCCGAGGUAAUUGUAGACCAGCGCUGAUAUACAAAUGCUAAAAGGUACCAGAAAAACAGUACUUGUCGAGUUGGAAGUAUGAACCUCCAAUUUUCUGACCUCUCGUGCACUCAUCCUAGAGUCUAUGAUUCUUUGUUUGAACCAGAUAUCGUGAACCCUUCACAUGUAUGAUCGUAUACCUUUAUCAUGAGUAUGGCAUCCUAUGUACAAAUAUAACAUGACCAAGCCAUACAGCGGCUACAUGUCUCCAGAGUAUGUCAUGGAUGGGAAAUUUUCUGAAAAAUCAGAUGUUUAUAGCUUUGGAGUACUAAUAGUGGAGCUGAUCAGCAUCAACCUGUCUAUCGGAAAGCUUUCCUCAGGACUUUACCUAAGCAAAAGCCUAAUGAACCGGCCUUGAUUCAAGUUGGAAGACUGAUAUGAUCAAUCCAACCACUUCCACCAUUGCCAUGACAUAGCAAGGCUUGGGCUAGCAGAUCCUGCAAUUUGUGCCGGGUCAAAACUCAUAAUAGGCAGCUGAAAUAAUUCAAUGAGGAGAAUAAUAGGCAGAGCUAUGAUGCCAAAAUCACAACGUCUCACUGCUAACAAGUCCGUCCGUUUAAGAAAAACUCAUCAUUCUCGUAGAAGAGAUUGGCGCAACAUAAACUGAACCCAAUUCAGGUAACUGAUGACCGUACUCACUUUUUCUCCCUCCAUUUCCUUAUGUUCAUGUAUAUCACUUGGCAAUAGUUACAAGGAUAUCAUCUUGGUUUACAUUAGCUUGCCUUUUAACUUUCGAUCGUGACAUUUUGUACAGUGAAAAAUGGUUGAAACCUGAAAUUUGUAAUUAGAACUCGGAGUAGGAGGAGCACUCGCCUAGAACUGGAUGCAUGCACACUUUUCCAUUGAAAAUCACGGUCGGUCUCGAAAGAGAAGAAGGUCAAAUAGCCUAAAUUAAAGAGUCGAGCUUUGUUAUUUCCCUUCAUAUAUUUGGGAUUAUUUGCUGGUUAGCGCAGUUACUUGCAACGGGAGAUGUGAAAAUGUAUUAAGCUCUAAAUUCAUCUCACUUCCCAGGGCUAUUUCAGUUAUGGUGUAAGGUCAUAUCUAGUCUGUUGAAUUGACUGUCAAGACAUGGUGCAUAAAGCAGGAAGCAAGUGUUUUUAACAUUCAUUCGCAAGCAAAUAUUUAUUCUGUCAAGUACAAUCCAGGAUCUAGCAUUCAUGCUGCGGUGCGUAUCUGCUUUUCUCAGUCUAUGAUUUAACCAAUGGAUUUUCCACUUUAAGACGUGAAAUUCUGGACAGAUCAACGAACCUUGUGCACUUUUGAGUUAAGUUGAGCUUGUUAACCUGACUUGACAUUUACCUUAAAACAUGCUCGAGAAAGAACAUCUUGAUACUAUACACAACCGGGAAGUAAGACAAGCUCCACUGGUUAUACAUAUGCGUCGUCAUCAUAGAUUGUCGGAGAUAUGGGUGAUGGCUCAUCUCUCAUAGUCAUAUCGUCAGUGUUUCCACAAAGGUCAUCGCCAAUCCUGCUGCUCGGCACUAGUUCGCUUCUUCUGACAGGAAUGAGACCGAUGAGGAUGCAAAGUUCGUAUUUUACUUGUGCCGGCAUUGGAAGAACGAUAGCGCAGCUGCAAGUAGUCAGGGAACGGUCAAGGUACUCGUCCUUGCGGCCCGAAUGAUCAGCUUAACGAAGAAAAUAAUAGGAUUGAAUCAUGAAGGUUGCGCAGCAUGUUAUGCUGAGCUGUUAGGCAUCAAAUAAACGCUGGAACAUGAUUUUAAUGUUAAGUCUCUAACUUCUGUUUUGAAUAGAGGAGAAUCGUUCCUAGCUUCCCAAAAAUGUUUGGUUAAUCAUCAUCAUUAGUGAAGCGAUACACUCUAAUAUGGGCCAGGCCGGGCCGGACCGAAUUCGACGGGGCCUGCAGUACUUCCUUGUUUGUUGUCUCCAUUUGUGACUUCGACGUAUUUGCCCUUCCAAUCGCGAGGUGCGUAAGCAGUUCGGCUCGAGAAGACGAAGAAAGCAAAACAGCAGCAUACGGGUGGCCCCAUCGAGCCGUAUCCGGAUCCAGAAACUUUUUCGGCAGAUCCAAACGGAACUCGUGUGGGAAAAGCAAAGGACCCUUUUAGAAAAGGUGUCGACCGUCCGUGCAACCUGUGAUUCACACGGAUCAUCCGUGCUUCUCACUGAUCGAUCGUUGUCGACGCACCAUCCACCGACGUAGAAAAACACGACACGCCACGAUCACUUCGACAGGUCGCAAUCCGUCCACCUACUCAAGACAUAAACCAACCAUUGCCAAAGCCACUUUCCGGGCGAGGUAGGCCUAGUCCCGGAAACACGAGCCACCAGAAUUUGUUGCCAUCUCGUGCACGAUUCAUUUUUAUAGUCGACGAAACUAUGCAUGAUCUAUAGUGAUCGUGAUAAACGUAAGAAGCGUUUAUGCUUUAGGAUAUGCUCAUGCUAAAAAGAUUCUUUAUGACUGAUGGACCUACAUAAACAAGUCUAGAGGAAUGGAAAGUUCACGUUGGUAGCAAGAUGUUAUGUCUAUGGUAUCUACACCACUAUCGUUGUUAAAUUAUCUUGACAAAAAUAGUUGGUCAUAUCCACGAAGCAACGUACCGCAUGGAUAUUAAUAGGUGGACUAUGUGAAUAUCAACAAUGCUACUUAGUGGAUGUCAACUAAGCUACUGCAUGGAUAUUUCAAGGAUUACAUUUGAAUAUCAGCGAGGCAAACACUGGAUAUUUGCAAGCAACUACAUGGAUAUUAGCAUAAUUUGCACUUGAAUAUUAGUAAGCGUUGAAUAUUAUGACAGUACUACAAUGGCUGAAUAUCAAGAGACCACUUACUCUACCAACAGCGACAAUCUUAUCACGAACUUCAAAACUAUUACUUUCAGAUAAUUCAUCUCAUCCCAUGAUAACUUUUAUGAUCUAGUAUGGAUUCCAUUUUUAGAAGAUAUUGAUUUAAUUUCUAUCUUAAGAUUAUAUUUGUGAUAUAAUUAAUCAUGCAAAAUAUCUUAAUUGAUUGAAAAUCGUCCCAAAGACAAAAUUCUUUCCUUAAUUGAGGAACUCCACAUAUGGAAACUAAAAUUUAACUGUAUUGACGAUUAAAUUGAUGGGUUCUUUGAUUGUUCCAUCUCAAAGUCUAUCCUAAUCUUCUUGUCAAUUUUCCAACGACUAGUUUGGAAUCCUCAUGAAAAUUAUCCAACGAGAUGUUCUGGAUGACAAUGAGUAUUAAAGAAGUCCAACGCGCUGAAGAGAGAGCAAUCUACGAUUAACAAUUCCAAAGUUCAAAAGAGCUUCACAUUGUUUCAUUGUUUUUAGUGAGAUUACAAAUGUAAUCAUUUGAAAAGUGUUGGCAAUGACUUUGGUGCAAGAAAAUGAGUCAUAUCAGCUUGUAUAUAGGCAAUACAACCUCGAGGAGAAAAGCUUAUUAGAAUCCACAAAGCUAUCGGUGUGGGAGAGUAGAUAUAGGUCUACACAAAGCUGAAUCACUAUAAAGCACUCUGUGCAAAGUCUUCUAUCUCUUUGAUUAUAUUUAUGUAUUACUCAAUAGAAACAACACACUCAACGAUCUAAGUACCACUAGAAUUUGAUCAUGUUCAUAACGACUCUCGUAGUCACACCCAUAUCCACUUGACUCUAGCAUUUAUUUGUCAAGUUUUAUAAAAUCACAUAUUCACACCCUCUAGAUAAUACUAUUAGCCACUUCAGAAUUGAUUUUCUCGAUGGCCAAGUAGCUACAAAAGCACAACCAUGUCACAGCGGUGCGCCCCUCAGGACAGCGGGCUUCACUAGCAUGGCCGAAAUUUCCUCCUCAGCAGCUCAUGCACAUAAUGAAGUUGGAAGAUGAGCUCGGAGCUUUCACAUUCGUAGGCACGAUACCCAUUUGCCGAACAAGCAGCCUUGGUCAUAACCAAGCAAAGGGAUUUUUCACUCUCUUAAUGAUAACAAUUGUUCUUAUGUCGACUCAAUAAAAUUGAACUGAACAGAUUCGAAUUCUAUUAACUGAUAGAAUGUGAGAUUUUGUGAGACUAUUUCAAAUUGUUCUAAAAACUUAAACCAUUCAUCUAAUAGUUUAAGUUAUUAGAAUAGUUGACGGUAACCCCAUAAAAUCUCACAUAAUAUCAGAGCAUGAGCUUUUGAGUUCAAAUUUUUCCCAUUAUACUGAUCCAGUUCCAUUAUAAAUUUUUCAGUUCAGUUUGGUGUCGAGACAAUCAAAACCAAACUGAGUUAAGGAAUAUUCGGUUCUCAAACUUCACUUUCAAAGCCAGCCACCAGCCAUAUUAAAAAUUGGUGGACCUGCUUGAGUUGUCUAUAGUGCCGCUUUCGUCCCACUUUCCCCGAAUCGACAUCGUUAAUUAAGAAAAACUAGUCUCUCCACCCGUCAAAUUCCAAUCAGAUUAAUCUAUCAAUUUCCUAAGUUUCCAGGAAUUGUCCUUGGGACCAUGUUUUACUAUACGCCGCGUCAUCCGUCAACUAAAGUUUAGGACAAAUUCAUGUACUUCUCGUCCCCUUUUCCCCUUACGCUUUCCCUGAUUUAGCAAUUUUUCUCUUCUUUUUUUAUAAGUAAAAGGGCGAGGAAGGGUACUCAGAGCAAUUAUCCCUAUGACUCAAAGAAAAUAACUCAAAUGAUCUUUGAAUGUGAUUCGAUGUGCAAUGCGAUUUCUUAAUUUCUAAUUUGUUCAAUGUGAUCUCCAAACUUUUAGUGCAUAUUCAAUGUAGUUCCAAGACUAUGAAAAUAUUCGACAUUGUCCUACACUUGAAUUAACGCAAGAACAAUAUUAAAUGUUUCAUAUAAUUUAAGGACCUGACGGAACAUGUACAUUGAGUUAAAGUUCAAUAAUAAAAUACUAUGGAUCAUAUGACACAUCGAAUCAUUAUACCAAUCCAAUUCCAUUAUAAAUUUUUCGGUUCAGUUCGGUGCCGAGACAAUCAAAACCAAACUGAGUUAAGGAAUAUUCGGUUCUCAAACUUCACUUUCAAAGCCAGCCACCGGCCAUAUUAAAAAUUGGUGGACCUGUUUGAGUUGUUUAUAGUGCCGCUUUCGUCCCAUUUUCACCGAAUCGACAUCGUUAAUUAAGAAAAACUAGCCUCUCCACCCAUCAAAUUCCAAUCAGAUUAAUCUAUCAAUUUCCUAAGUUUCCAAGGAUUGUCCUUGGGACCAUUUUUUACUAUACGCCACAUCAUCCGUCAACUAAAGUUUAGGAUAAAUUCAUGUACUUCUCGUCCCAAUUUCCCCUUUCACUUUCCUCGAUUUAGCAAUUUUCUUUUUUUUAUAAGUAAAAGGGCGAGGAAGGGUACGCAAAGCAAUUAUCCCUAUGACUCAAAGAAAAUAACUCAAAUGAGCUUUGAAUUUGAUUCGAUGUGCAAUGCGGUCUCUUAAUUUCUAAUUUGUUCAAUGUGAUUUUCAAGCUUUUAGUACAUAUUCAAUGUAAUCCCUAGACUAUAUGAAAAUAUUCAACAUUAUCCUGCACUUGAAUUAACGCAAGAACAAUAUUGAAUAUUUUAUAUAAUUUAAGGACCUGACAGAACAUGUACAUUGAAUUAAAGUUUGAUAAUAAAAGACUAUGAAUCAUGUGACACAUCGAACCAAAAAUCACAAACCAUUUGUGCUAUGAUCCAUAAAAUUCGCCAAGAGGGCUUCACACUCGUCACGGGAAUGUUCAAUCGAAAGGCCCCUUCCCCCGAUCCUUAUAUGAACGGACCCACCACCACAGAAGCCCCCAUCGACGUGUCGAUAUUCAAAUGCUCGAAAAUACAAAUUGAUCUAAAAUUCAUUCGUGACUUGGCUCGACUUCCUUCAAGAGAAAGGGGUUGGGUUUCCAAAUCUCCCCUCGAAAGCCCCACCAAUGUGCCAAAAAUUUAGGGACGACAUAUGCUCGAAAAUUCAAAUUGAUCAAAGAUUCGCUCGUGACUUGCCUCGAAAUCUCUUUCGAGGAGGGGCCCGGGUUUCCGGGUCCUCCUCCCCCAAUUUUAGCAAGAAAAUUUCGACGCUCUUUCCUUGCGUCUUCCUUGCUGCCCACGCCAAAAGCGCGCGAGCCCGACUUCCGCGUAGAAAAUAUAAAAGGUCAAACGGAUCAGUCCCGAAACAACAUCUCCUUUCGCCUAUCAAAUCCCUAAAUUCCAGACGCCUUUCUCCGCUCAAAGAUCCCGAUCCCCGAUUCCCGAUUCCGGGAAUCGAAUUCCGGGAAAUCGAACCUUUGCCCACCGGCGAUCGGCUCCUCGAUUCCGACCUCCCGUUUUAAAUUUCCCUUUUUGGCGCGAAAUGCCCAUGAAGCUCGACGUCCCCAACGGCGGCGCCGCGGUGGCGGCGGCGGCGGCGACGAACGGGGGGGAGGCGGAGAGGGAGAGGGAGAGGGACGGGGACGAGCUGUUCGUGCCGCCGCUCAACUUCGCGAUGGUCGACGGCGGCGUGUUCAGGUCGGGUUUCCCCGACGGCGCCAACUUCAGCUUCUUGCAGUCGCUCGGGCUCCGGUCCGUCAUGUGAGUGCUGCGGCGACGUCGCCGGCGGCGGCGGCGGCGGCUGUUUCUUCGGGGGCGGUUUGCGCUCGAUCGUUUCUGUGUGUGUCUUGAAUGUGGCCUGAUUGUGGUUGUGGGUUUUGUGGGAUUGUUGCAGAUGUUUGUGCCCCGAGCCUUAUCCGGAGGGGAACAGCGAGUUCCUGGCGGCCAAUGGGAUUCGGCUUUUCCAAUUCGGGAUCGAGAAUUGCAAGGUAAAUGCUCCGGGAUGGCCCUUUGGUUUUCCCUUUCUCAGGUGACGGUGACUUGGUGAGUGGGGAUGGAAUUGUCGGAAUCGGAAUUUAAUCGUUGGAUGUGAAUUGGCGAUUGGGGAUAGAAGUUAUAACCGUUGGAAUCUGUGGUUGUUGACGAUAAUGGCUUCUUUCGUAUCACUUUGUAUAGGAUUCUUAUUCAACUCUAGCAAAGUGAUGUCACAAUUUUGGAGAUACCCUUUUUCCCGUUUUCGAAUGACUAUGAAGUUUGGUUACUUGAUGCGAUGCUAAGAUAUGCAUCAAAUUUUUAUUUUUUAUUUUUUAAAUGGUGUGGUCCGUGGGUUUUUGUCAAUGAAUUAGCUGCAGAGUCUUCUUAAUGCUUCUGCUUGCAUGUUGCAUGGAGCGAGGAUAGCCUAACCUUCACUUAAUGUGGUUUACUAUCAUAGACUAUCUUAUGCCACGUUAGAGGCUACUUUUUAAGCAUGAGCUGCUUUUGUCCUUGACUUGUGUUCGUAUGGAAAAUAAUCUACUCGUGGCUGUUUACUCACAUGAUCAUGUGCUAUGCAAUCAACUUUUUAAGAUAGGACGGCUACUGGGUAAUUGAAAUUAUUGCCCUUAUCUCUUUGCAAAAAGAAAAGCGUACACAGCAGAGAUGACAACAAAAUACUUUAUCUGUGAAUCAUCCUGCCUCCAGUGAAGCUGCCAAAAAGUAAACUGCCCAUCCUGACUAUUCAAAGAUGGAUGCUGGGCUAGCUGUUGGUAGCCCUCAGCCUCUGAUGUAACAAGGCGAAGAAUAAUGGCCUUAAGCAUUGUUGAGCAGGUGUGCUUUCAUAAGAAACCAGUACUGCUCGUUUUCUUGCACCUCGGACACUUUGAGUGCAUCUGAUAUCAGUGGUGUCAUGCUUCGAAGGAUCUUACUGGUCAUAGAAUCGUAAUCAAUCUUCUUGCCAGACAAUGAUAAUCCUGUUCUUCUGUGCCUCCUAAACAAAUGUCCUGUGACUUGUGUUUUGCUGCUAGGAAUUUGAAUCCAUGUCAAGUGGAUGCAUUCAUAUCAGAAGUGUUCACAAGACUCGAGAAUACGAAGUAAAUUGCUUCAAUUGCUUUCUGUAAUUUGCACUUGCUUGGGGUGUGAUAAAAUCUCUUUUAGUGGCAGAUACACAUGGCUUUCCCGUGUUUCAAUUUAUGGAUGACCUUGCUUUUUAUGAGUCCUUCGCAUACCAGCUGGAACUACAGAUGGUGCUAAUAUUAGGUUGAACCAAACCCUGCCAUGGGACCUCACUAGUGUUGAGAAUCUGAGAUGUGAAACAGGUGGACAAUAUUAGAUAAUAAAAAAUAAAUAUAUAAAAUGCAAGUUGCAUCAUUGCAGGGUGUUGGGAAAUUGGACAGCAAAUAGAUUUGGUUUGUAACAAGCCAUUGAGCUAAGAGAACUGAAGAUUGUGAUUAGGGGGUAUCAAACAAUAAUUUCUGGUCAGACGAUGAGGCUUGUUACUGUAUAUUGUAGCAGAUUCAUGCUACUUCAUUUAUUGAAGUAGUAAAAUUCUCUUGCUCCAGCAAAAAGAAGAGAAAAAUAAACAACAAAGCUCUUUUCUGAAUCUUCUACAUGAUAUGUACAUUAUAGCUUUCACGUUUUUCUAAUCUACGUCAACAUUUUAAGUCCUCAUGAGAUGAUUAGUAUAUAGAUAUACAUGGCUGUAGUAGAAAAAUUGCAUUUUAUUUCAAAUAAAAUGAUAUAUUUGGUCCAAGAGUGUCCUAACAUACUGUAACAGUUCUUAUAAUUGAUCAAUGUUAUUCUGUACAGGAACCUUUCAUCAAUAUUCCAGAUGAAGCAAUUCGUGAAGCGCUGAAAGUACUCCUUGGUAUAACUAAAUAUAUGAUGUGACUUCACAUUAUGAGUGGUUAGCUUGCCUGUUGGACAUUUGCUCAAGUAUUUGGUUCUUUCCUUGUGGUCGCAGAUGUAAGGAACCACCCUGUCUUAAUCCACUGCAAACGUGGGAAGGUACCCCUCGUUUCCUCUUUACCCAUUAUUUUCUUGAAGAUUGAGUUAUAAGCCCAUGUUGACCAACGAUCUGCUCAUCAAUGGCUUGCAGCACCGAACUGGUUGUCUUGUGGGAUGCCUAAGAAAGUUACAGAGGUGGUGUCUGUCUUCUAUCUUUGAUGAGUACCAGAGGUUUGCCGGCACUAAAGCUAGAGUAUCGGAUCAGAGAUUUAUAGAGCUGUUCGAUAUCUCAAGCUUGAAGCACUCGCCAAUGUCAUUUUCGUGUUUAAAAAGAUGAUGAUGUUGAUAUUUUCAGCUGUUGCUGCCAACUAUCAAGGGUUCAAAAGGAGUGUCCAAGUUAGUGAAGUCGAGUCACAGUAUGUUUCCUAUCUUUAAUACUUUCAACACUGUCUUCAGGGUAGAUUAGUGUGCAAAGUAGAAAAUUUUAAUUUUUGGGGACUAUUGGGUCGAUAUCUGGGAGUAGAACGGGCUGCAAUGCGAACGUUGUUGUUAACUGCUCUCUGUGUAUUAUCUUUUCCAUUUGUUCAUCAGAGUCACUGACUAUGUUAGUUGAUAUGUCAGCUUCUCAUUUCGACAAGAGAUCAUGGCAUUAGUUGGGUUAGUUGGGCAUUUUGAGCUGUGUAGCACUUGCCAAUCUCAUUUUCUUUUGCUGGAAAGGACCAUGCGUGGGCCGGCUUUCGAGCCGUCGCUAGCAACCAACCACCGCGGUAGCAAAAAUUGGGUAUCAUAGUUGUUGCCUUCCGAGAGUAGCACAGGAUGCAAAGUAGAUGUUCAUAGCAUGGAUGAGUGGGUGAACUUUAUCUGAGUAGUGGUAGUGGUGUAUCCUGUAAUUCACUCUGAGCCUAGUGGUGUUUUCUGUAAUUCACUCUGAACCUUCUUCUCAAUCCUAUCAUAGUUGGUCGUGUGUCAGAUAAAGCUCUACUCAUAAUGCAGCCCCUCCACGCAUUUUCUGCAUGAUGGCGACAUCAUGAUUCGAGGUGCAGACUGAUUGACUUUUUUUAUCUGCAAGUUGGAGGACCACUCUCUGAAGAGAUUAGACAUUGGUGGGGGGGAUCACCCUCACCUCCCCCAAGCCUUUGCCCUUCCCCAUUCGUAGUGCGGCCUCUGUUCUGAUGAGGGAGCACUUCUCCAAGUUGGAUUUUCCUGUGAUCUGCACUCCACGGAGCACGUGACCCCACAUGUAAUCACGUGACUUCUGGCUUGGGGCAAACUUGCCACCGAAUCUCGCUGCUGAGCAGCGGAACUGUCGAGGCAAAAAGAGAUUGUGCAUCGUACACAGCAUCGAGUUCCUCUCUUCUCGAUGAAGUUUUAUUAUAUAAAGGUUGAGGCCAAUAAGUCUGUCUAGGGGCGGAUGAUGGGAUCGUAAGGUGUGACGCUAAAGAUUAUAGCAUGCCGUGCCAAAUAAUGCGAUGGACUGCAAUUAAGUAUAUAAUUGGACGAAAUAUUUCGUGGGUCAGUAUUGAUAUGAGAUUUUUUAUGACUUUUAAAUUAGCAUUAUUGUAUUUUGACUGAUAGAGAAAAGAUGUUAUGGGGCCCGGAAAAAUAAGGUUCUUUGCACGAAAAGAAUUAGGUGGAGAUUGGGUUCGUUUCCAACCAGUCGAUGCUUUACCUAAAUGUCGCCAUUGCUGUCAGAUAAUUUAGCAUUAAAUCACGCAAUCAUUUAAUAGCUUUUCAGAAUUCUUGCUCUGACUUUUGGCAUGGUGCCAUUGUUGGUUUUCAUUUGGUGCAGCUGUUAAAUUGCCGCCUUUGGAUUUUUUUAUGAAAAGCACGACAAGUGCCCCCGGUCAAAGGUUCGAAACCGUCUCUAGGGGCGGGUGGGCACAUUGGUCAAAAAAAGAGAUCUAAUUGCUUCUAUUUUUUUUUGUCAAAUAGAGAGAUCUAAUUUUCAUAGAUCUAUACUAUGUAUUCUUUUCAGACAUCGCACAUAUUCGAUUGGGGGCAUGGGCGGUCCCUUGUUCCUUCAACUUUGCAUUGGAAUCACGCUUUCCAAACGUCGAUAAUUUCGGCUGUCCCCUUAAAAUUCGCCGCCCAUUGUUUUUUGUCUUCUCCUUCUUUGCAUUUAUUCGUUCCUUUUGAUCCACAAAAUUGGUCUGCGUGUAGAUCAGAUCAUGAUGCUGUCCUUUUCAAACUCGAAAAAAAAUCAGAAAAAUGCGGUCCACAUGGCUUCAGAUCUACGAAAUAUCGAGACAGAUUUAGAUAUCGUUCACGCCGCUUAUUAUCUAUGAAGAUUUCAAAUUGACAAGCACGCCACUUAAAAUCCAUAUCUAAAUUGCUAAACGUUAGAAGUUUAUUUCCUCUUACACCGGGCUAAGCCCAUCUCUUUUAAUAUACAUACAUAUACGUAUGCAUACGAUGCUUAUACGUAUAUUUACUUAAUCAAUUUCGGUUUUGUAAUCUAGCAUUUAUAGCUGCCAAAGAUGUUGCCGCCUUGGCACCAUCAAUGCUUGUCGUCUAAUUAAUGCAAAAGGUUCUCCCAAGGCACCCGUGACAGCUUUGGCGGAAAUAACAAGGCAGAUAUUGCUUUCCUUUCUGUACGAAGAAAAUGACGAAUAAUUCAUAAAUUUUAAUUCAAUUUUACACUAUACACCCCGAUUUUUUUAUUUAUUAAAUAUGGUCUCGAAUUUUAGUCCAAUAUUCAAUGUUAUUUCAGAACUUUUAAUAUAUUCAGUGUAAUCCUUAAUAUUUUUGUAUAUGUUCAUUUUAGUUCAUGAAUUAUAAGAAAAUGUUCAAUAUUGUUCGUGAACUUAAAUUUGUGAAAAUAUAAUAUUUGAUAUUUUUAUAUAAUUUGGACACUAACUUGAAUAUUUACAAAAAAAAAUUAUAAACUAUAUUAAAGAAAAUAGAAAUUUAGAGAUGAUACUAUAAAUAAUCAUGAAUGUCAAACCCAAAGUUUGAACAAAUAGUCCCACCCACGUGAUUCUUGGCCUCAAGUUAGGGGUUUGACUCUUAGAAUCCGCCAAAACUCUUAGAGCAGUUCCCUUACUUAAGCAAGAGGCCAUGGCUAAGUUGCUAGGCUAGUCUCCCUCAAAAUAUAGUCGGUGUUGUGCUCCUAUAAGAUGAGUUAGGCUGGAUCCUUAAUAUAAAAAAAAAAAAUUGAACAAAUAGUCUCAAGAGAUGCCAAAAUGAGCUAACUUUCAAGAUUGAAAUAGACAAAUCACGUGAGUUUUUUUUUUUUUUUGAGCAACAAAUCACGUGAGUUUUCCUAUAAAUAAAUUUUGCCAUCAAAUCAAAUUUCCAUCACCAUAAUCAAUUUCAGCUCGCGCAAUUGGUAUCGAUGUUUUUUUCUCGACAUUAACGCCAUCACGAAAUAAAUACUUUCGAAAUCAAUGACAGUGACAUAUAAUAUAAUCUAGAAAAAUUCAACUUUGGCAGGCGAGAUUUGCAUAAUCAGUUGCGCACUUCGAUGAUGAUUUACGACUAAUGAUCAUAGAAAAUGACGCCAAUGGUAAUUAAUUAUACAUUGGCCCUGCGUAACUUGAGGACUAAUCGUCAAUAAAGAAGACUUAUAUGAGACGCAUUGACAUAAAAUUAAGAACCGAAGGAUUAGUUGUCACGAUCAAGUUUUUUCUUCAGUAAUGGUCAAGAUUCAUUAGUACAAAAUCGAACCACCUCAAACCUACCGUUCCCAAAAAAGAAAAAAAAAAAAAAAAAACUACCGUUCCGACAAAGGAGGCUAGAGAGGAAGGCAGUAAUUGUCACCAUCCUAAAAUCGGGUCAGUCCAACAACCCGGUCAGAUCUAAUCAGCGCAGUAGCACAUGCGGGCACGCAUGCAAGUCCUUGGAAAAACCCAAAAUCCCUAAAAUCUGCACACUCAAGACCUUAGAUUAGUACUUUAGUCACGCGACACGACACGACAUAACAUGUGUCGAAGCGUUGAUAACAUAAAUGGAGGCCAAAUUAGUAAUAUCAGCAGGCUUCCUGGCCCCGUUCCGGGCUCUCCUCAGAUCUGGAAUUCCUUGAAAUGCCUUCCUACAUGAGACUCAUUUAUUCCCGAAUUUGCACUUCAAGUCCGCCUUUGAUCCGACCGCCCCUAGUAGUUUGUUGCGUGGAUCUCCACGUCAGCACCACUUUGGAUGAAGCUGAUAGAUGGUCAAAAAUUAUCAUCGAGUGCAUCGGUCUGGAACUUUUCUUUGGUCUAUUAGCUCAUAAUAUAAAAAUUCACGAGCGUGUGGUUCAAGAUUUUUUUUUUUUUUGGGUAAAGUGGUUCGAGAUUUUUUGCGAUGAUAAAAGCAAGAAAAAAUUACACAAAAUAUAUGAAUUUUGGCUCCCUCGACUUUUAAUUUGUUUAGUAUGAUUUUUGAACUUUGACAUAAUGUGCAAUUUGAUCAAUGAACUUUUAUAGUCCAUGAACUUUUUAUACACGUUCAAUUUAUUCAUCAAACUAUAUAAAAAUGCUUAAUAGGAUACCAUUGAAUUUUUUCAACUAUAUAGUGCAGAGACCACAUUGAACAUAUACCAUAAGUAUAAGGACUAUAUUGAGUUUAAAUUCAUAACUCGUAUUGAACAAAUUGUAUGUUAAGUCAAAAUUGAGGGAUCAUGUAUAUCAAUUAAAGAAAAAAAAAGCUUGAACAUGCUGAGAAUCAUGACCAGAGCAAGUCCUUAAAAGGCUUAUGAGAAAGAAAUAAACGAGAGAUCUUCCAUAGGAUGGGAGAUCCCACAAUGUCGCUCCCUAUUCUUCCCUCCUCGAGAAGAAAAAAAUUGGGGAGGAAUUAAGGAGUCUCAUGAUGAUGAAAGUAAACAUCGCGUCAAAACUUCAGUUCUGGCUACCACUAAGUAAACUGGUACAAUAGCCAAUCGCGCUUGGAGUAAGCGUGAAAAUCUUGCUACAAGCUUGACAAUCUUUCAGUUUCAAGAAUCAAUUACCAAGCGUUGUACUUUGAACAUAUACUAAAAAUAUAGAAAUCACAUUAAAUAUAUACACAAAUUUGUGAAUAUAUUAUACAUUAAGUUAAAGUUCAUGAAUCGUAUUAAAUAAAUUGUAUGUUAAGUCAAAAUUGAUGGAUCAUCUGUAUCAAUUUUUUCUGAAGUGAAAAAGGAAAAAGGAGGCUAGAACAUGGUGAGAACCCUACUGGUAACAUGCAAGCUGUCACAAUGUACCCUAUCUACAUAAACCGGGUGCGGAUGCCAGGUUGCCUCCCCCCCACCACACAUCAUGCACCUAACCCAUACCCUCUCUCUAUCUCUAUCUCCUCCCGUCAAGAAGAAGGAAGAAGACGAAGAAGGAAGAAGCAAUAGCGGAAUUUUGGAUGAAGCUGAUAGAUGGUUAAAAAUUAUUAUCGAGUGCAUCGAUUUGGGACUUUUUUUUGGGUCUAUUAGCUCAUAAUAUGAAAAUUCACAAGCGUGUGGUUCGAGUUUUUUUUUUUUUUUUUUGUGACUUAGGAACCCCGUAUAGCCGGUAGCCGAAGAGUAAACUUUGGAGGACAUGUAAGUGGGAGGACCUACCACUCUCGGCACCCACUUAAGACUCAAAGCGACCCAAACCAUAACGGCCACCAAGGCAAUGGUGUGGUUCGAGAUUUUUUUUUUUUUUUUUUGUGACCCAGGAACUCCGUACAGUUGGCAGUCAGCGAGUAGACCUGAGGGGACACGUAAGCGGGAGGACCCAUCACCCGGUAGCUGGCGAGUAAACCUGAGGAGACACAUAAGUGGGAAGACCUACCACCCCGACAUCCCACUUAAGAUUUCAAGCGACCGUGAGAGGAUUCGAAUUCCUCCCUUUUGUGAGGGGGAAAGAGCUCAAAUUAUCGCGGCUACCAAAGCGGUGGUGUGGUUUGAGAUUUUUCGUGAUGUUAAAAGCAAGAAAAAAUGACACAAAUAAUUUAUGAACUUUGAUUCAACUGUAAUGCAGUUCCUUAACUUUUAAUUUAUUCAGUAUAAUUCUUGAACUUUGACCUGAUCCAUGAAUUUUUGAUUUAUUUAAUGUGACCCAUGAACUUUUAAUACACGUUCAAUUUAGUCAUCAAAUUAUAUAAAAAUGUUCAAUAUGAUACCAUUGAAUUUUUUCAAUUAUAUAAUUCAGAGACCACAUUGAACAUAUACCAAAAGUAUAAGGACUCCAUUGAAUAUAUAAAAAAAUUCCGCAAAUAUAUUAUACAUUGAGUUUAAAUUUAGAAAUUGUAUUGAACAAAUUGUAUGUUAAGUCAAAAUUGAUGGAUCAUUUAUAUCAAUUAAAGAAAAAAAAAGCUUGAACAUGGUGAGAAUCAUGAUCUGAGCAAGUCGUUAAAAGGUUCAUGAGAACCAUAUCACAAUGUCACUCCCUAUUCUUCCCUCCUCGAGAAGACAAAAAUUGGGGAGGAAUUAAGAGGUCUCAUAGUGAUGAAGAUAAACAUCACAUUAGGAUUUCGGUUCUAGCUAUUACUAAGUAGGCUGGUAUAAUAGCCAUUCGUACUUGGAGAAGGUGAAGGUAGGUGAAAAUCCUGUUGCAAGCUUGACAGCCCUUUAGGUUUCAAGAAUCAACUACUGUACCUUAAAUAUAACCAAAAAUAUAGAAAUCAAAUAUAAUUUUAUGAAUAUAUUAUACAUUAAGUCAAAGUUCAUGAAUCGUAUUAAAUAAAUUAUAUAUUAAGCCAAAAUUGAUGUAUUAUUUGUAUUAAUUUUUUUUUUUGAUAACUUAGGAAAUCUCAUAAGUCGACCAUGAGGGAGCGACUGCAGGGACCCACAUCACAGUAUUCUAAAUAAGAAUUCCUAAUGAUCCUUCUUCCUUUCGUGAGGGGGAAAGAGAUGGAGUUAGCUGGGCGGUGGUUGUAUCAAUUUUUUCUAAAGUGAAGAAAGAAAAAAACAAAAAGAAACUUCAACAUACUAAGGACCCUCUGACGGAUAAGAUGCAAGCUGUCGGGAUGCACACCGUAUAAAAAAGCCACGUGCGGAACGGCUGCCAGGUCGCCUUCUCCCAACCGCACAUCUCCCACCCAACCCCUACUCUCUCUCUCUCUCUCUCUCUCUCUCCAUCAUCUCUAUCUCGUCCUGUCAAGAAGAAGGAAGAAGACGAAGAAGGAAGGUGAACAAGAAGCAAGAAGAAGAUGCAGCAGUAGAAAGGUGAGAUCUCGAUCUCGCACCGAUGCUCUCGAAUCGAACCUGUUCCUCCCCGAUCCCCCCGCAUCGAUUCGCCUGAACCACAAAAAAGUUCGCAUCCUUUUCCCUCCACCGAUUUUACCGGCUCCUUCGAGGCGUAGAGCAGUUAGGGCCUCGAGCAUUCAUGGCGGAACUCGCGGGCGAUCUGCCCGGCGAGCUGGUGACCGAGAUCCUGGACCGCCUCCCGGUCGAGUCGCUGCUCCGGUGCCGCUCCGUCUCCAAGCGGUGGCGCGGCAUCAUCGACAGCCGGGACUUCGUCCGCUCCCACCUCGCCCGCUCCUUCGAGUCCACCGCCAACCUCACCCUCUUCUUCCGCCACUCGUCCAGCCUCUACUGCAUCGACCUCACCUCCCUCCUCCGCCACGGCGGCGUCGCCGAGAUGAACUACCCGCUCAUGUGCUACAGCGACCAGAUCCGCGUCCUCGGCUCCUGCAACGGCCUGCUCUGCAUCUCCAACGCCGCCGACGACGUCGUCGUUUGGAACCCCGCCACGCGGAAGCACAAGUUCCUGCCGUACUCCGCCGUCGAGGUGCGGCGCUCCUCGGUUUUCUCCGUCUGCGUCUACGGGUUCGGGUACGACGAGAGGCGAGACGAUUACGUGCUGCUCAGGCUCGUCCAGCUCGUGACGGAGCCGAUCGAGUCGGAAGUUAGUAUCUACAGCUUGAAGGAUAACGCUUGGAGGCGGCUCAAGGAUAUGCCGUACUCCCUCGUUUAUCCCCGCAAGAUGGGGGUUUUCGUGUGCGGCCAUCUGCACUGGAUAAUGACUCGGGAGCUGGUGUCGGAUUCGGCGAAUCUGCUGGUGGCUUUCGAUUUUCGAAUUGAGGAUUUUAAGGUGGUGGACCAGCCUGAAGGUAUCGAUAAUAAGCUUGACAUGGAUUUGUCCGUCCUGGGAGGGUGUCUCUGCCUUAGCAUUAACGGGAACCACAUGGGUGUCCAUGUGUGGAUUAUGAAAGAGUAUGGAUUGAGAGAUUCAUGGACUAAGUUGUUCUCGAUACCGCAAUCUGAAGUUGCCAGACCUCUUGGGUUUGUCCGGCCGUUGGCUUACGCCAGCAAUGGUCGUCAAGUUUUGGUAAGACAGGACAGUAAGAAUCUCAUUUUGUAUGAUCUAGAGACUAAGGGCAUGGAGAGGGUUGAUAUAAAUGGCAUGCCAAAUUCCUUUGAAGCAGAAAUUUGUUUGAGAACCCUUGUUUCGGUCGAUGAUUAUGGAGGAUACACCAAGAAGAAGCAGCAAGAAGCGGAAGAGAUUGAGAAUAGGACCAAGAGGUAAGUAUUUUGUGAAAAGUAGCAUGUUCUUUUGUGUUAAGAUUCCUCCCUCAUAUACAGAACCUGGUGUAGUGGGUUGCUUGUUCUUCUUCCUUCCUCUGGCAUGUUUGUGAAGAAGGUGAAGCGAAAGAAACUUGUCCAUGGCUUUUGGGAUGGAAAAGGAUAGCUCUUCCUGGAGGAAGAAGAGUUGUUCAAUUGAUGUGAUGGAUAAUCAGAUCCUCCCUACUUCUCCCUAUUUCUGGACGUGAUAACUUUUGGGUGGUUGUGUGAUCUAAUUAAUUUGAAAAUAUGGACAAAGAAUAGAGUAGAGUAGAUGAUUGAGAACUAUGGGGAACUAAUCUGGGAAUCGGGAACUUGGAAUCGAAGACUACGCGCCAAAUUAUGUUUCACAAAACAAAACAGUUGUGUGCUCCUUUAUUUCUUUUUAUUUAUGUUUUUACUGAUAAAAGAAAACAUAAAACGGUUUGAAAUUCCUUACCAAAAAAAAUAAAAAAUUCCAUACCAAAAAAAAGAAAAAACAGUUAGAAAUGAGAAUUUAUGUUAUAUAAGAGGAGUCUAUUGUAUGAUGCAUAUGAAGAAAACACAUUCACAGAGGUUUCUAUGGAAACAAUAGGUUAGAGAACAUCUAUUUAAGAUCUAAAACAGCCAACAAAAAAAAAUGUUUUCCGUUGCUCUAAUUUGUACUGAUAAAUAGGAAUGAAGUUCCCCUUCUUGCAAUUAUUGUUCCAUUCGAUGUGUUAGCUUUAAGACUGCCAAAGUUGAGGGACAAAGAUUUAUGUUGAUUUAUUCUGAUUACGUUCCAUCCAUUGUACCAUUAUGGUUGCUUAAUGAUAGAUUUAAUUGUGAGUCUGUCUCGUCUGCUUUCACUUAUAUAUAGAAUCUGUAACAAAAUGUCUCUGGUAAAUAUUUGGUGACUUGGCUUACUCGCACCUCUCAUCUUUACUACUGUUCUUGAUCGUUUAGUUGAUUAGAAACUGCCUUCCUCCUGUACAGGGAUGACUUCCUCUCGGUGGGCUUCAAGCUUGUUCUCUAAUCGAGACAUAGUUGUGCAAGGGGGUGAGUUAUCUCUAUGAACUGUGAUUACCCUGAUAAAUGACUUCGCUUUACAAAUUUUAUCGAGCAUGAUUUUUUUUAUAAAUUGGACUUUAAUUGAGAAAAUAUCGCUUCAAUUGUGUUGUCAAUUUUUUAAACAAAAACGUCUUGUUUUAGAGGGAGGCAAACAGUUAUUGUAUCUAAGUAAUUUACUUAAGCAUCAGAUAGGGGUUUUAUUUUCUAGAUAGACCAUCUAAUGAUAACACAUGCUGUCUUGUCCCAUCGCUAUGACUUGGUCAUGGAGAAAUGAGACAUGAGCAAAGUUAUAGCUAACUAGUAGGACGGAGAUCUUGAAGGAUUCUAUAGUCAAGUUUUCCUGUCAUUUGUUUUUGCCCUCUAUCUUUCACCUUUUGUUAUGCCUUUUUAACUUGCUAUAUAUUGUGUUUUGUAUUGUUUAUACUUUCAUGUAUGUUUGAAGUCGUUGAUGCAUCCUUGCCGUACUUGCAUUGAAACAAUGUCAGUGUCAGUGGCUUUUUGUUUCUGAACUUCUUUAAGAUGCAAAUAUAACUUUGCGGCAUGUGUAUGUUUGCCUAAAGAUGUUGAUAUUUGUGGGUAACCUUACCAACUUGUCAUAGAUGAAACAUUUUCACUUUUUCUGGUUGCAAUAGUGUAUCUUUGCUUUCUUAUGCUAUGCCCUGAACAAUAAAAGUUCUAUCUGUUACUUUAAUUUACCAUGUCUUUCUUGGGCUCUCUCUGGAUCUAAUCCUAGAACCUAAAUCUAAUCCCCAUAAUACAUAGGUGGGGGUCGAACCUCCCACCUGCCAAACUCCUUGUGGGAUUUGUGAUGAGUGGUUUACAAAUGCAAUGGCUUUAAUUUGCCAUCAUCAUAAAUGGCAUAAGGUUACUAAAUUAUUACUUCAAAUUAUUUCUAAAAGAGUGACGCAUUUAGUAGUUCUUGAAACUUUCAGAAUAGGAGAUUUGUUUUCCUUCCAAUUCAUGAUAUAUCCUAUGCGUGUAAGAGUGUCCUUUAAUAAGUGAAAAACAUAUCUGAAAAACAAUUGCUACAUGCUUUUUUAUGUGUCCAAGGUCUUGCCAUGACUGCCAAUUGGUUUUUCCAGGUGUCACAAACUACUCAGCGAAGGGAAUGCAGUAGAAGUUAAGUUUUUUGCCUCAGUAUUUAGAUUCACGGCUCAACUUUCAACAAUAUGGACCAACGUAUCAUCGGGAAAGGUUUGGCAAAAAAAAGAGAAAAAAAGAUGGAUAAAAAUAACUAUCCGACCUGCGCAACAUACCCCUCCAGUAAGUAGAGAAUACUUUUUCCUUUCCCUGAAGAACAAACUGCUGAAAACUGCUGUCAACAGAAGUAACACAAAGAAGAACUAAUUAGCACAAUUAAGGAAACCUACUAAGCCCGCUGACAAGAAUCAUACAACUUGAAAUUGAAGCUAAGGACCUUGACUAUGGUAUAAUAAGUUGAUCCCAUUGAUCUGCUCCUUCAAGUCCUUGACCUUGGUGAGAGUUUUGUCAAAGGAGGACAUGACCUCCCUCAAUUGAGUCCUCUUGGCACAUGGCUAUCCUCUUGAGCCUUUUCUCCAAUUACAACAAUAGUGGUAACAUCUGUUUCCGACUUUCUCUCAACCACUUCCAACUCUCUCAACCAUGCUCUCUACAACUCGACCUAAUAACAGUUGUCACAAGCAGACACUUGAGAUCACGAACUGUGUGGCAGUUAGGCUCUGAAUGACUCAUUCAGCCCUUAGUAUAGUCAUCUAAGCUCAGCCUUCCCCUGAACUAUUGCUUACUCACUCACUUGGCCCAUCUCAAAUCAUACAGACGAGUGUUUAUACUUGAACUGAUAGUUACUCUUGUAUCGGAAAUUCCAAUCGGCUAGCUUGCCUUUUGACAUCAUUAUCGACACUCCUAUGAAAAAUUGAUGUUCUAAAACUCUACAGGGAUGUUAAGCUGGAGAAGGAAUGUGACAUUUGUGUUCUGUAACAUUCUCCCCAAGAAUACUUUAAACAUUCCCCAAUUGAAAGUCACAAUCAACUGCAGUAGUGGCAAGGUUUGGGGUUAAAAGUGUGCUCCAAAUGGAUGGAUUAUAGGUCCCUCUUAAAAGAUUUUUGUUAAUACUGAUUGUCACAAGUUGAUGUAGAGUGGAUGAGCAGAGCCUUCUCCUGAAAAUGACAUUUUUGUGGAACCCGAGAGCAAAUCACGAUGGGUCGAGGGAAGGUUCCAUUCAUGCUAAUAGGAUAUGCUUGCAGGCUUUCAUUGAUCAAAGUGCCAAAAUAAAAAUAAGCUGCUCCAAUGCUUGUCUUCCAAGAGGAAAAGGUGGCAUGUAAGCUUUGUGGAGAGAAGCAUGGGUAACCAUAGCGUAUGAUACUGGCAUUAGCAGCUGAAGAAGCUUUGUAUCAAUUCUAAUCUCUUCUAUGAUACAUCAUUUGAUAUCUGGUCAGGGUUAUAGAUCGAAUAGGAUUACAUGGAGAGGGAAGAUACCUACUUCUGGUUUAAAAGUGACUGCCGACUAUUGUCAUCUUGGUAUGUUAUGCAAGGAAGUUUGCUGUUGAUACAGUUUGGUGGCAAUAUACCGCCCAAGAAAGUUGCUGCAGCCAUUUUUUAUAGUAGUGCCCGGAACACUAUUAGAACGGAGCACCUAUUUUGGUCCAGCCACUCGAACCUAGUUCAACCCAAAUCCAUGUGAAGCAUUGUUCUACAGCAAGAUCUGUUAAACAUUCCAUAUCCAGUGGGUUGAGGGCACUUUAAUUGCCUGAGAGUGAGGAAUGUCAUGCAAUGUUGUUGAUUAUUGGGAAGGUUUUUUCUGAUGAAUUGGGAGGUGGUAGUUCUCCAAGGAAAGAGUCCCCUUAUGAAGCAUUGUUCUACAACGACUGUUAAACCGUCCGUACCUAAUGGGUUGAGGACACUCUACGAGCCCGAGAGUGGGGAAUGUUGUGCCAUGUUGUGGAAUGAGAGUUGAGAGUUUUUUCCUGACGAAUCAGGAGGUAGUUCUUCUCCAAGGAAAUAUUCCCCGUAUGACCUCAAAUUAUGUGGGAUCUUUCUUUUGCUGCUGAGUUGACCACGGAGCUUGUUGUCGAGGUGAUGCUUCCGAGCCAUCAUUGCUUAAGCAAUCAGUAUAUCACUGAAUAGUAGAGUUUCGUAUGGACAGAUUGAAGAUUGGAGGUGAAUAUUUUUUUUCCCUUAAAUUUUGUCCUGUUGGAAUGGGAGCUUGGGCACCUCAUUUCAUGUGAUCUGCGGAGUUGGUUAUGCUGGGUUCUGUAAUGUUAAUUAUAUAGGCUGUAUUGUUGUUUGUGGAGUGUUGGAUUUCAUAUCAAAGCGUAUGGGGGAAGGAUCAUCCAAGGUCUGCAUUGUAAUCACCCUAAGCGAAGCAGAAUCUGAUGCACUUUGGAGUGUAGUCUGAAUGCAUGUUGUGGUUUGAAUGUACUUUGAUACCAGUAAUUUCCAGCCUGUUCCAUCCGGCACCGGCACGAGAAUGUAUCAUAUUUGUUCUCUUAUCAGAUGUAUAUGCACGGGCGCAUGCAGGUGCAUGUGAUGAUAUUGCGGUUCCUUCUCGUGUACAAGUUUAGAGUUCUUUUGCCUUUCACAUCUUGUCCAUUGCAAUUGAACAGGUUGGGGGGCACCAGAAGACUUGUAGUUGACUUAUCAUCGUACUUCCACUACAGGUCGAAUUGCGUGAGACCACAUUUUAAGUCAUCGAGGGCCCUACAAUUAUGUCCUUUUUCCAUGGAAAUCUGCUCCGGUGCGCACGUUACGAGUGGAGUACGCUUGUACGACUAGCCUGCCACCACCUUUGUUUUGCAUUUUCUCGGUCCAGAUUCCACAGGCCGCGACAUUACUCGUCGGCACGGUUUUCCACGAGAAUCUUGACUAAGGAACCCUCGUGGAUCACAACGUGCCCUUUUUUACAUGCUUGAUGUUUGGAAUCAAGGGAAGAAAAGCUGCAUGAGCCAAGUCAAGUCGAGGCACGGUUUCCAAGGGAAUCUGGACUUAGAAAUCCUCGUGGAUCACAUGGGCCAUGCUACAGCGGGGUUGUGUUGACUGACCACGAAGAAAGAAGAGCCGGCAUGAUCUUAGUCAAGGCACUGGUGUUGGGUUGGGCUGAACCCUUUUGAGCGGAGUCAACCUCGGAGCCGAUUGUGUAUUUUGACUUGCCCAAGCAUAAUUGAGGGGGGAAAAAUAAAAGAAAAACAAUCCCAUUAUUUUUUUGGAGAAUAAAAAUAUCAAUGCACAGUGUAGUUAGAAAGAAAAAUAAUAAAACCACGGAUCAACAUGAUCUUUUCCUUCUCGGAUUGAAUGUCUUUCUGACCUCUGUUCAAUUCAUUGAUCGAGUAUCUGUACAAGAAGGUUGAACGUGAUGAGAUUAAAACAGAUUAAAAGAUCAUAUUCUUUCAAGUCACUUGCAUGAUUUUCUCUGUAAUCUCGCUUUCCCGAGGGAGCUCAUCUCUAUCCCACUAGUGAUAGCUUUACCAAAAUCCCACCUAUCCUUAAAUCCUGGAUGAACAACCGAGAAGGGCAUGACUUGGUUAAAGAAAAAUUGGACAGGGUUUUUUGCAACUGGAACUAGCGGAUCACUUUCCCUGGGGCCGAAGUGUUCACUUCAUUAGCAGUGGGUUCAGACCACAGCCCUUUGUUGCUAACUACUAAUGUAAAGCUGUAUAGAAAAAAGGAAUACCUUCAAAUUCGAAGCUUAUUGGUUGUAAGAUCAGGCUUGCCAAGAUAUCAUAGCAAAGGCUUGGUCCUCAGCUACAACAAAUAGAUACAACCUGCCAUACAAAUUGAAAAAGGUCAAUUGGGCUCUAUUGGAAUGGAGUAGAGUCACUUUCUCUAAAGCAAACGAUCAUAUUGCAACUUUACAACAACAACUACAAUCUCUAACAAAUCAAACACAUAGCCUUUAUGACAAACAACUCGUCACCAAGUUGAAAGAAAAGCUCCACAAUGCUUGAUAGCAGGAGAAACAAUAUUGGGCUAUGCGCUUUAGGAUAAAUUGGGCUAAGGUGGGGCGAUAAAAAUACUAAGAUUUUUCAUGCCACUACCAUCCAUCGAAGACAAAGGAACAAAAUCAAGAUGCUACAAGACAACAAUCAAUGAUGGGUUAGAGAUGAUCACCUUCUAAAGGAAAUGACGAUGGAAUUCUUUUCCAAACUCUACAAAACAAAGGGCUAUCACGACUAUGGGUUGAUUCUUGACAAAUGUGAGUGUGUUGUUACUAAUGAUAUGAAUGCUAAACUAACUGCAAUAGUCACCCGCAAGGAAGUUCAAACAGCCACUUUCUAGCUGGGGAAAACUCAAACUCGGGGUCCUGAUGGAUUCAACAGUCUUUUUUAUCAAAACCACUGGGACAUCUUCCAAGACGAAGUUUACUUAUCAGUGUAGCAAUUUUUCCAAUCUGGAUUGAUGUCCUUGGAACUGAAUAGAACCAUUAUUUCACUCAUACCGAAAGUCCCUAACUCGGAAUGUCUAGACCAAUACCGACUCAUUAGUCUUUGUAAUUAUGCUUACAAAAUAAUAUCCAAGGUGCUUGCCAACCGAUUGAAACCUUUCCUUCCUGACUUGAUAUCUAUGGAACAAAGUGUUUUUGUGAACGGCCGCCGAAUCCAGGACAAUAUUUUAAUUGUACGUGCUUCAUCAAAUCAAGACAAGAACUCGAAAGCGAAAAUUUCAAGUGGUCGUCAAGAUGGACAUGAAAAAGGCGUAUGACCGUAUUGAGUGGGAUUUCCUAAGAGAUUAUCUACUCAGGUUGGGAUUCCAUUCUACUUGGGUACAGUGGUUAAUGUAGUGCAUCACUACAGUCUCCAUAAGUGUAAAAUUUAAUGGGGAAGAACUGAAUUACUUCCACCCAACGCGAUGCAUUUGAUAGGGAGACCCUCUAUCACCCUAUAUUUUCAUCACGAUGGCGAAUGUCAUGUCAACACUCAUCCAUCAAGCUCUCCAAAUGGGAAACCUCAAGGGCAUCCAGCUGAACAGGUGGUCUCCUACUCUGACCCAUUUAUUUUUUUGCAGAUGACGCUAUAUAUUUCCUAGAUGGGAAAGUACAAGAAUGCUCAAGAACUAGCCAACAUUCUGAACCAAUAUUGUCUAGCUACAAGACAGGCAAUAAAUCGAAACAAAUUUGGCAUAUACUUCAGCAAAGAUUGCCCUAACAGACUUAAGGAAAGCUUGGCAAAGGAAUUCCGAAUCCCAAUGUUAGAGAAAACGGUAAAUACCUUGAUAUCUUGUCGAACUGGGGAAGAUCCAAACGAGACAUGUUUGCUUGGAUAUUAGGGAAAGUCAAUGCAAAACUUGAUGAAUAGAAAGAAAGUCUCAUUUCUAAAGAUGGCAAGGAGAUUCUCAUAAAAAAAGUGUCGUACAAGCAAUCCCACAGUAUGCUAUGUCAAUUUUCAAAAUCCCUGCUUCGCUUUGCAAGUCCAUUGAAAAAAAGAUUGCAAGAUUUUGGUGGCAGAACGACAGCCGAAAGUCAGGAAUACACCGGAGGAACUAGGAUGUACUGAAAAACGGGAAGGAAAUGGGAGGACUCAAGUUUCAAGACCUCAUUGCUUUAGGCAAAUAAGCCUGGCGACUAAUACAGCAACCUACUUCUUUGUGGAGCAAACUCUUUAAAGGUCUUUAUUUCCAUUCACAGGAUUUCUUAAAUGCUUCCAAAGGUACUCGACAUUCCUGAGGUUGGCAGAGCCUACUAGUCGGACGGGAUUCCAUUUUAUCAAAGAUUCAAUGGUUGGUCGAAGAGGGGACUAACAUAAGAAUUCGUGAGGAUCGAUGGUUUCCUAGAGGUAAAAUAGGCGGAAUUGCUACUACAAAAGAACCUGAAAGAGUAGCUGAACCGAUCGAUACAGAAACCAACCUAUGGAAUGUGACUUUACUACAACAUCUCUUUGAUGUUGAGACUAUAGUGGAAAUCCUCAAGAUCCCGAUAAGACCUCACUAUGUGCCAAAUCAGAUUAUUUGGACAAGUACAGUUCGAGGUGAGUAUACUGUGAAAAGCGCUUAUCGUGCUAUACGGCAAGCAGCCCCUAGUAUUAAUGAAAACAAAGCGUCCUCUUCAUAUCAACCACCAAAGCACCUCUGGAAAAACAUAUGGAAACUCAAAAUCACUCCCAAAAUCCGACUUUUCCUUUGGUCAUUAUGCCAAAACACUCUGCCCACUAAGGACAACCUCUUCCUCAGAAAAACCAGCGCAGAUCCAGUUUGUAAUCUAUGCUCAGCUCAACAACUAGAAACAUUGGAACACUUAUUUUUAUUUUGUCCAUGGACAUCCAAAGUUUGGUCUAACCCCUAAAUCAACAUUCGUAUACUACCCUCAGAAAUUCAUCGCAUAGAGGUUUGGAUUGAAGACCGAUUUGAACAGAGGAACGUCUUACCUGGUAUGGAGCUUAUCGCCACACUCUUAUGGCAAAUCUGGAAGGCACGCAACAGGUCCAUCUUCUACCAGCAGAGUCUAGAUCCCUCAUAUGUUUUCGCUACAGCACUCACCCAAGCACGCAUAGCUCAGGUUGCCUCUAUCCAUGUGGCCAGAUUAGCUCGAAGAAACCUAGAUCUAGCCACAUCGUGGAGGCCCCCGAUCUAGGAGUCUUAAAGAUCAAUAUAGAUGGGGCUUUUUAGCCAAGAAGCACCACAAGAUUAGUAGCAUACCUCUGUCGCGACCAUACUAGUAAAUUGAUCGAAGGCUUUACCAAAGACGUACCUACUUCCUCGGCGUUGCAGGUGGAGAUCCAGGUGCUGAGUUUAACCUUACACCACCUGCUGAACACCAACAAGACUAUAUAUCCUCUUAUAAUCGAGUCAGACUGUCUCGCGAUGGUUGAAGCGGUGCAAGAUUUUCAAGCGUCGCCAUGGGAGGUCAGAUCGCCCAGACCGCUGAUUGGCGAGGUUGUUGCUAUGCUCCCCUGUUUCCAUCGUCUGCUCGUUAGGUUUUGCAGAAGAGAAGCAAACUUUGCUGCGGAUUGGGCCGCUAAGGCCCAUAGCUAUGGCUUGUUGCCUCCAACUUGGGCUGUUCCCCCCCCCCCCCCAACUCCCUUGUUAGACCUUGUUUCAGAUGCUUUUGAAGCGGGAU
rnacentral:lncRNA from 1 species